UUAGUAAAUAAACGUUUCAAUACUUGUAAAUAAGCUAACAUAUUUUAUAUUCAUAUAGUUUUUUUUUCUUAAUUUUAAAGUUGAUUACAAUCUUUUUUUAAUAAUUUAAAGUCAAAUUAAAGUAUUAUAACAUUUGUAUUUAAAAAGUUUUCAAGUGAUUUUGGACACAUAUAAUGUAAAAAUGAUUUGUAAUCAUAGAUUAGAGAUGCAUACAAGCACAACUUACCGAAUUUAACAUUUAUUGACUUUUAAUUUCAUGUUAUAUAUUUAAGAUUAAAAGCAUUUAAUGGCUUUCAAACCUAUUCUGUAUGCCUGAUAUGUAUAAUAAACAGUAUAAAACUGUCUAUAUUAAGUAUUGGAUUUUUUUCAAAAGUAUUUAAGUUUUUAAGUUCGUGAUAAUUCAAUUAUUUUUAGGUUGUAACAAAAAUAACAAAGUAUGUCGUUUAAUUUGAAAAAAUAGUAAAAAUAAUUUUAAAUUGUUAUAAUAGUAAAACAUAAAAAUUACAAAAAAAAAAAAAAAAACAAUCUCUCAAAUACCCCAACCCAAUAUAAAAAUUACAAUUAUUUAACUAAACUUAAAAUAUAUUGUAAUUGAAAUAACACAUGCUAAUUAGAAAAUCUGUCAUUAAUGAAAAGUUUCACCUCAUAUCUGCAAAAUUUAAAAUUUAUUUAAAUGUCUACAAGACCCAAUUCAUUCGAAAUGAGUAGUUGCAAAGUCGAGACACAUUCAAUCAAAGGGUUUGGCUCUACACGUGUCGAACAACCAUAGUUGAAAGCUUCAAAUUAAAAAUGGGAGCAUUGUUGAUAUUACGAUAAAGAUUAAAUCAUUAAAUUAUACCAUAGAAUUAAAAACUUAUAUACAAGAUACGCAUCGGUGAGUUCUUCAUACAUUCGAGAUUCAUUUGAGUUAUUUUCUCUUGUUUGCAAUAAAAAAAUUAUCUUUCACAUUAUGUUUAUCUCUUGUUGGCUGUCUCUCUCCCUCCCUUUAUUUUUUUUUAUCUAAUAAAACCUAAAAGAAAACUAUUCAAAUAAUUUAAAAAAUGUGAUUGAUGCAUAAAUAAAUCCUAAAAUUUAAAUUCAAUUUUUUAUUAAAAGCUACAUAUUACGUGUUAUUUAAUAAAUUGUUUAAAAUAUAACAAAUUUGAAGAUAGUCAUUAGCACAAAUAUAAUCCAGCAACAAAAUAACAAAUUUAGGUACAAUAAUUUUUUUUAUAAUAAAAAUCAAUCAAAAUAUGUGUAUAAUAAUAAUUAGCACAAAUGUAGUGAUGAUAAAACUUUGUUUUUAAAUUACUAUUAACCAUACGUAACAUGUAUUAUCUGAUAAUUUUUUUUUAAAUAACUUCAAAUAUAAAUAAUACGAAAUGCUUAAUUUAUGUUUGCUAUUAAGGAUAUGAUGUAGUAUUUAAAAUCAAAAUAUAAUGAUUUGGAAAUGAUUCAAAUUCUCAUAAUCAUUUUUUAUUAACCAUAGGUAUUAUGUACUAUCAUAUGAAAAUAAUGAAGUAGUGAUUGUCAUUGUUUUAGGGAUUAGAUUUCAUAAUAUUUGAAUUAAAAAUAUUAUGAAAUGUAAUGAAUGGAGAACGAUUGAAAUUCUUUUAACAAUUUUGUAGGGAAAAUUUUAUUAAACAUUAAUUAAAUAAAUAAAUGUUAAUUAAUUUGAUUUAAAUACUAAAAAUUCGAAAAUUUGUUAUGAAUUAUAGAGAUAUAUUUAGGGUAUAUAGAGAAAAUCUUGUUAGCCCAAAUUAGUUAAUAUUUUUCCAAACUAAUAGUAGUUUGCAAAUACACUUUAUAUGUGAUUGUGUGUUAUUUGACAAAUACAUUGUAUCUGAAAACACCUAUAGUAACUACCAGUUUUGUCAAAAUUCUUAAUAUUUUUCAAACUUUCUAUUUUUAAACUUGUUAUGUUAAAUUUUGCUAUUCACCGUUAUCUCUUAUUUUUAUAUUUUUUAAAAACCAAGCCACUAACUUGUUAAACACAAAAUUAAAAAUUAAUAUCUUAUAUUCACUAUUAAAAAAAACACAUACAUGCACACGAACAUACAAAAAUAUCUUAAACAUAAAAGUUAUUAAAUAUACUCUUAAUUAAAAAAAAAAAAAACGAAGAAUGAUAUAACUAUAAAAAAAACUCUAAGAAAAGACCAUCUCAAACAUUUGAUGUGUUGGUUUGAUAACAAAAAUAACAUCAACUUAAAACUCCCUCACUUCAUCAUCAAUCCUUCAAAACUUUUGAAAAGUUUGAUCCUUGACUCUUAUACACUAAAGCUCUAUUUGGGAUAGAGUUUGAAAUGGUUGAAAGGGAUUGUGAAAAAAUCUUAAUAUUUAGAUCUAAUAUCAUUUUAAUAAGAAAUCUUGUAAUUUCUCAACCACACAUAUAUAUUAGUGAAAUUUUAAAAAAUAAAAAUUUUUAUCAAAUGUUUACGGUCUAUAUAGCAUUCUAAAUAUUUGAAUUUAUUUUGUUAUUUUAAAAAAUGCUAGUAUAUAUUACAAUAAUAGUUUUCAUAUUGGUAUAUUUUUCAAAUUUGAAUAGAUUCAAUUUAAUUAUUUUCUCAAACCUUUAUCAAAUAUUUUAAAACAAAUUAUUAUUUAAUUAUCAACGAGAAUAUAAUGAAAAUAAUAAAUCAAUUUAUUAUUAAUUUAUCUAACGAUUUAAAUGAAUACAUACCCAAAACUAAUUUAUUUAUUUACAUAGUCGAGGAAACAAAGGCGACAUCUAUUAUUCUAAAAGCAAUAGCAACUCCGAAGUCGGAAAAAGGAACCAUAUAAAAGGGGGACACCCACGAGUACCGCCAGAAGUCGGCCAUGCGUGUAGCUUCGCGGCAUACAACAACGAUUCGUAUUUCAUAGAUAGACUUAGACUACACAUUGACCCUUUAACUCUGGUCUGGUUAGCCACUGACUCCCCCCAUCUCCUUCAAACGCUCUCUCCCUUCUUCCAUCCUUCCUUUAUUUAUUUAUUUAUUAUUAUUAUUAUUCAUUUUCUUAAUCUCCUCCCGAAUCCUUGUCUUCUCCUCUCCCAUGGUGUCCAACUAGCCGGCAACAUCACCCUUUCACCUCUCUGCAAUGUUGAACCUCUUCUCUUUGUCUCACCGCAUUUUCAUUUCCAUCUUCAUCUUCCUCUUCCUCGUCUCUCCGCCGUUGCUUCCUUCCUCCGCUCUUCCUCUCUCCGACUCCGAUCAACCGCUUCUCGCUAAUACUACGCUCCAGUCCAAUAAUGUUUCCGUUCCGAGGAAUAAGGAAGGUAGUUUUGCUGACAUCAUUGAUCGUGCUUUGGAGAAUGAGUUCAAGGAGAAUGACCAGAAUGAAGGUUAGUAGAUCUUUAGAUCUCGGCUUCUCACUUGUUUUUUGUUAGGGUUUUUAUUACUUUGGUGUAGCUAACUGCGGUUUUAGUGGUGAAUCUAUGUUAAUUGUGGUAUGCGGGUGUGUUGAAACGGUUUUUUUUUUUUUUUGUUUGCUACUAUGGCUCUAGGAGUAGGAUAAGGUAGAUGACUAGUUUUUGAUCUUGUGUGGUUUAAUUCUUUUGUAGUUAUUGGAUACGGAAUUCCUUUUCUUAGUAAGAGGAUGGUAUUGCGAAAUUUGUCUGGAAUUAUGGUUCCUGUAUGAAUUUGAGCUUUUCAUUUUUAUCGUUUAGAUCAAUACCUACCGAUCCCGUUUGUUAUUUCUACUAUUCUAUUGCUUGUGUUUCUUACUUGUUUUCUUUUAAAUGUUCGAUUAUUUUGAGUAAAUUGUCCAAUACGAUUGCUGGUGGUGUUGUUAUUGCAGCUCGUAUGAUGUUAAUAUAUUCUAUCUUCUGUUUGAGUAAUAUGAGGACAUUUCUCUCUCUUGCGUUUCAGCAAUUGAUUCAGGAAGCUUCAACAACAGUGUAGCAGAGCAGCAGGUUGGUAGUGAUAUGUUUUGUCAAUGUAGUAAUCAUUAUUUUCAAAAAACUUUUGAGCACAACUUGUGAGAAUUAUGGAUUUUACUCUGAUUUUGAACGAGCAAAAUAAUCUGUUCCAAACAUACGGGCACAAAAAUGUGCUGAUUUGGCCCUCAUUGAUUGGCGUUGUUGAUUAGGCAACUCUGGAGACUGUGGCAAGGGUGAAGUCAAAGAAAAAUGAUACGAAAGAGGAAAAGUAUAUGCUUCUUACUUUAGUAUUACAUUUCACUUUCAGGCCAUGCUAUACUGGAUUAAGCGUGCACUUCCUUAAACACUUGUGUUUCUACUUUAGGUUUCAGCUUCAAAACGUUUUCAAUUUGGACAGUGAUAAUAGAGCUGAAGAUACCCCUACAUUGAUUGAUCGAAAGGUAUGGGUAUUUCAUUUUCCGUAUUUUUUCUGUGUCAGAUCGUCAUUUUGUGCUCAAGGUUGGUAAAACAUUUUUCUUUUCUCAGGACAAUGUCUUUAUCAUAUCCAACUUUAAGUCUAAAUAUCCAGUGCUACAAUUAGACUUGAGGUAUGUUUUUAUUUUAUGCAAUUGUUCCUCAAGUAAUGACUGAUAUUAACUUCUAAUUUUAUGAGUUGGCAGAUUGAUAUCUGAUUUGGUUAUCGUAAUUGUCUCUGCAACUUGUGGCGGCAUUGCCUUUGCCUGUGCUGGACAACCAGUACGAUUAUUUUUUACCUAAGCUAUUGAAUAACAAUUGUAGGAUGUGAUCUGAUUUUCAUGACAUGGACAAUCCUAUAUAUAUGUAACCUGUGUUAUAUUUUAUCAGGUUAUAACUGGAUACCUUCUAGCAGGAUCUAUUAUUGGACCUGGAGGAUUUAACUUUGUCAGUGAAAUGGUUCAAGUACGUUGCUCCUAAUCUAUCAUUUAUAGUUUUUCCAGGGCUCUUUUUUCCUCUGCCUAAAAAUUGGAAGAUAACAAUUACAUUUGUCAUAUUUUUCUGGUUGCAUGAGAUCUUCUCAGAUGUAUACUAUAGUAUAAUAAAUACCCCAUCAGGCUAUCCCUCUAAUCUUAUUUGUAUUUUUUUCUUCUCUAAUGAAUUUAUUUUAUAUCCAAAGUUAAAAUGGUGAGUAAUGAACCGGUAGAGACAAUAUAUAUAAGGUAAAAGAAUGGGCACUGUACAUUUUGGAUUAAUUUCUAGAAAAUGCACGAGAAAGUGGAAGCUGACUAGUUCUGUAUGCAUGGGGCUUUUAAUGAAAGUUGGUCCUAAUCUAUCAGGUUUACUGAUAGGGGUUAAUUAGUCAUUCUAUAAUUUGUUGUUAUAAAAGUUUAUUGUACAAAGUAUGUGUUAGAGAAGUUGGUGUGUUUGUUUUAAUAUUUAAAAAAAGAACGAAUGAUGGUUGCCCUCUCAAAAGAUCUCUCUCGCACUAUAAACGUAUACAAUGUAUAUUUGUCUCUUGUGAUGGUUAUUCAGAGAUAAAAAGACAUUUGUGUUGAUUUGUUUUCAUGUUGCCUUACCAAUGGCCAAAUUCUUUCUUUCGUCCUCAAGUUCCUUAUUGAUUUCUGUGAUUAGGUUGAAACGGUAGCUCAAUUUGGUGUAAUUUUUCUUCUUUUUGCACUGGGUUUGGAGUUCUCAACAACUAAGGUUAGUUUUAUUUCCAUUCAAGGUUAUUUGUAGAUGUUUAUAAAAUCACAAUACAUGUGCUAAGCCCAAUGAUAUGUUUUAGCUACGAGUUGUUCGUGCAGUUGCUGUUCUUGGCGGGCUUCUUCAAAUUUUCCUAUUUAUGUGCCUCAGUGGAAUCACAGCCUCGGUAAUAACUAGUGCUUCUCUGUAUUAUUUUUAUUUUUUUCCGGUUAACGAAAAGUCCAAACAAUCUUGUGUCAUUGACCACCCUAUUUUUUGGCCGUUGAAUAAAUUAAUUUGGAUCCUGCUUUAGCCAGGUUCUAAUACUCAACUUCCCUAUUGUUGCAUGCCUCCUAUUAAAUAAACUUUGCUUAUUUAUUUAAUGAUAAAAAAUUUGUAGCAAGUUUUACAAGACUCUUUUUCUUCGCUGUGAAUUUUAUUAUCAUUAUUGUUGUGUUGUUUUUAUUUAUUCAUUUAUUAUUAAUAUUAUUAUUAUUUUGCAGUCAUGUGGUGGGAGUGCUUCUGAAGGAGUUUUUGUCGGAGCAUUCCUAUCUAUGUCCUCAACAGCAGUGGUAGGAUACUGUAUAACUUUUUGAAUGGAUGACACUGGCAUGCUUUAUAGCCUAUGUUCUUGCCUGUAUGAUAAAAGAACAACUGUCUCGGAUUGCAGGUGCUGAAAUUUUUGAUGGAAAAGAACUCUACUAAUGCUCUUCAUGGACAAGUCACAAUUGGCACCCUUAUUCUGCAGGUAAUGUUUUAUUUUGUUUUUCUUUUCUUCAUGCAACCCUCUUAGGGGAAAAAAUUAUCGCCUAACCCAUCAGUUUCCUUGGGUUUGCAGGACUGUGCUGUUGGGUUACUGUUUGCUUUGCUUCCAGUACUAGGUGGGAAUUCUGGUAUUCUUCAAGGAGUGAUGUCUAUGAGUAAAGUGUACGUAUAAAUAGGAAUUUGUUUUACACAUGGGCAUACCCUCAAAUCUAGUUGUUACGUUUUUUCAGACAUAGUAAGUACUAUAAAUGGUUAUCUCAUGAGAAUUUUGAAGGUGCUUGCAAGUUUGCUUGGACGCUUAUGCAUUUAAAAAAAGAAAACCAAACAGUAAAUUUACUUCUUGGGCUUAAUGCUACUGGUGGUGUUCUUUCUAGAACACUUAAAGAAAGGACCAAAGAGUUCUCUAAAAUGUCUGGGAUACUUUUCUUCUGGUUACAAACUUGUGAAGUUCAAAGAUUAAGUUUGAGCUCCUUUGAGUUUGUGCAUGUUAUUCCUUCUUGUGAGGUAUUUAUUAUUAUCAAAAGAAGAGCAGAACUAGGUGCAUAAAACCAUAUUGUGUAUUUAUUAUCAGUACCUCGUGGAACUAGCUUUUUACGCCUUUUGCAGAUGGUUAGUUAUUCUUGAUAAGUCCAGGCCAGGAACUGGUUUUGUAUGACAUGUAGAUUAUACGAGAAAUUGUAGGGUAUGAAUCUUAUAUUUACAAGGUUUUGUAUUUCUCAAUCAGGUUGGUGAUCUUGGUUGGUUUUUUGGUUGCUUUGUCAAUUUUAUCCCGUACAUGUAUUCCUUGGCUCUUAAAACUGAUGAUAAGUCUAUCAUCACAGGUAUGCUUUAUUGCAUCUAUAUAUUUAUUAUUAUUGAAAUUUAUAUACCUGAUUUAACAACUAUCCGAAUUUCAAAUGCAUUGUCUAAUUUAUUUUUCUCUGCAGACCAACGAACUUUAUCAAUUAGCCUCAGUGGCGUUCUGCUUGCUUGUAGCCUGGGUCAGUAUCUACUUUUUUUUUCUGAGUUUGAUUUUAUGCAUGUGGAGAUGUCAUACUUUGAAUUGUUAUCAUUUCUAUCAUUCAGGUUUUUUAUGUAUAGGGGUACUAAGAAAGAACAUCAUUAAUUUUUUUAAAUAAAAAAUCAAACUUCCAUUUUGAAUCAUGAAAUUUUUUAAGGGCAUAUGUAAAGACAGCCCAGACAAUAGGAGACCUAACCUACUUAUAGGGCCACUAAUCCAAUAGAAUAAGGCCUGAUGGAUUAUUACAGAAGGCCUUAGAGCCCACUAUCCACCACAAGGGGGUCUUAAACUCAGUAUUAUUCCAAAGAACGCACCAAGACCGUUGAAACCCCUAAAGAAAUAUCUAAAGAUCCCAAUAUUUCGUUCACAACAAAUACACCUCCAAACCUAAAACAAAUAACAAUAAAUAGAAAUAAAUAAAUAAAUAAAAAGUCUUCCAAAGCACUUGCCUUUUAUAUCUUUGAAGGGAGGGAAUGGGACAACUUCCUUUUACUGUACACCUUUCUUCUUUUUUAAAUUAUAACUCUCUGGUGUAUGCCUACUUUGAUGGGAUACUAUUCCCAUGACUAAUGAAGUUGUAUAAUUUUAUUGGUCGCUAUAUGAUCAAUUGAAAUUACUUUGUUGGUGCUUUUCUGUUAAUUAUUGUUUUUACAAUUUCAGUGUAGUGAUAAGUUGGGCCUCAGUCUAGAAUUGGGUUCCUUUGCCGCUGGAGUGAUGAUAUCCACAACUGAUCUUGCUCAACACACACUUGAACAAGUAAGGCAUUUCAUUCCAUACUUUGUUUCAAGAGAUGUGUGGCUUAAUUGUAAUGUUACCAAGGCAUGUUGGUCUGGGUGUAUAAACUAUACAUGCAUAUAUGAAGAGUGUGUGCAUGUACUGUUUGUAUAUAUGUGUAUGUAGGUGAAUAAGGUGUUUAUUGCUCUUGCUUCUGUGUGGGGGUUUCAUAUGCUGUUAGUUUGUUUAUUUUUGUAUGGUCUUCAGAAAAUUGUAUCACAAUAUCCGAAUACUGUUAAUAUUCAAGAUGAUAGGAAUGGGUGUGAAAAGAAAUAAGGAAAAUAAGGUGGGUAGGAAUUUUGAAGGGCGAGGUGAAGUUGGAUAGAGGGAGGAUGGAUUCUUGCACUUUAAUACAGAUAAUAGGCUAGAAUUUUGUUUGAAAUGUUUGCUUUUCUGUCUCCCAAGAGUUAUGUGUUGAUUCCUAUUGAGUGAUUUUAUAAUUGCUUGUCUACAGAUAGAGCCUAUAAGGAACUUUUUUGCGGCCCUUUUUCUUGCCAGCAUUGGAAUGCUGAUACACGUUCAGUUUUUGUGGAACCACGUUGAUAUAUUAUUAGCAGCUGUUAUACUGGUGAUAAUUGUAAAAACAAUCGUAAUUAGCACAGUGGUGAAGGGAUUUGGGUAUAACAACAGGACAGCACUUUUGGUGAGGUUAUAUUACUAUAUCCUCGGCAUUCAUCCUUGUUCAUGAUAUGUUAUAAAUAACUGGUUUUCUCUUCUGGAUAUUGAUUUGUGAUGUGUAGGUUGGAAUGUCUUUGGCUCAGAUAGGAGAAUUUGCUUUUGUUCUUCUCAGCCGUGCUUCUAAUCUUCAUCUAGUUGAGGUCAGUGCCAUUAUCUUGCUUCUCAGGAAAAACAUUAAAUGAGAUGCAUGUAAAAAAAAUCUACUGUUAAUCAUAAAUGAUGAUGCACGAUCUCUGAAAUUCUUGGGGGAUGUUUUGGCGUGGAUUCAGUUUGUUCAGUUCAGCCUGGACUUGGGUAGUCUGGCGGUGGGGGUUUAAUCUGAGUCGUGAGAGUUUAGGAGGUCUGACGACCUUACUUGAACAUGAUUUGUUCUUCUAUAGGCUGUACAACUAUGUCCUUGAGAUGAAGAAAAUUGUGCUUGGUGUACAAGCUUAGGAAAACUAUAUAUUAAACGAAUCAUUAGGACUCAUAUUUACUCAAGUUUCUAAAAAAAAAAAAUGAAAAUCUUGUUAUUCCAAUAUGAUAAUUUCAAAGUUCAAAUUGUUUCUUCAAAUUUCUUUAUAGGAAAAAAGUGUUUCAUAGAACUGUGUUGUUUCAGUUGACUAGCUUCAAAAUAAAGUACUUUCUCCGGGCUGUUUUAAAAUGAUUAGUUAAAUGCUAUUUUAUUGUGACUAAGUUUAAUCUAAAAAAAGGUGAUUAAGUUUAAAUUCAAUACCAUACACACACUUCUGUUACUUAAUAUUUUGAAUCAAAUACUUAUUUUAAUAUGGCAAUUUUUUCCUAACUAUAAUCUUUUUUAUUAACUUCAAAAUAAAAUAAUGUUUACUUUUACUUAUUUUUUUCUACUUAAGAAGAGUUACUUUCAUUACCUUGAAUAUGGGUAAUCUUGUAUACAUAUAUUUAAUAAGCUAACUUCAAAUUAAAUACUCCGGAGUUAACUGCUCUACUUAAAUUAUUACUAUAUUAAAUUCUUUUAAUAUAAAAGUUCAAGAUUACAAAAGUGGGGAGGGGAGGGGAGCACAAUCAAAUGGGGCAAAAGCGUUGAAUAACUGAAAAAAUGGAAAUAUUGUUAAGAUCGCCCAGUUAUGUAGCCAUAUUUUUUAAACUAUUGUUACGUAAAAAUGGAUGAAUGAAAAUAAUACAUCUUUUCUUAUUGGAUACUGAUAUUAUGAUAAUUUUCAGGGGAAACUGUAUCUAUUGCUUAUUGGGACCACAGCCCUCAGUCUGGUGAGAUGUAAUCCAUUUCUGCAUGUUUAUAUAUCUAUGUAUCUACAUGAUGGUUUCAUAUGUGUCAUCAUAUGCUGUUGUAAUGAUUAUAUUUCUUUUCUCUGCAUGGUUUUAUUAAUUUUUUUUAUUGGCUUAUUUUGAGUUAUCUGCUAUUCCGUUUGAGACUUCUUUUAGAUAACAAAUAUACUUAAGAAUUAUGAAUAAUUUAGAAAUAGUUGAAAUUGUUAGCUCAAUUUUUCAUCACAAAAACAGGAAUUAGUUGAAAGCCAUUUCUUCAAUAUGAUUUGACAGAAAGAAGGAAGGCAUUGUAUUGGAACUUGGAAGUUAGGACAUUGAUUUGUCUGAAGGAUCAAUAACAAAACAAUAAAAAUUAAAAGCCAUCCAAUAUCCGUUGAUAGAAAAAAAACGAAUGAUUAUUAAGAAAAAAAGUAAACUUGCACUCCUAUAACCUAUUACUUUUUUUUGCAUGAGAGUGUGUUUCAGCAUUAUAUUAGUGAUUAAUUUUCUCAAGAAAUAAAUUUCUGGAUGGGGCAUUUGUUAAAAUUUCGUGCAGGUGACAACUCCUUUUCUUUUCAAGCUAAUACCUGCUGUAGUACAUUUAGGCGUGCUAUUGCGGUGGUUUUCUCCAGAUAGUCUCGUUGAGGUAGAAACAUUUUACUUGAAUCUAACUUUAUACACCGCAAUUUUCCUUGACUCUAAUCCGCUUGAUCAAAAUUUAUCUUCAUGUGAUAAUUCAGAUUGGAUUGAAAGGAGACAUCAUUCGCUCGGACAGUGUAAAGCAACGGGUUAUGUUGAUAGUCCAGGGACCUCACGAUUCAUGACACUGAUUGUAUGUCAAUUGAAAAUGAAAUAUCAUUUUCUUCUCAAGGAGUCAAAUUCUGGCCAGCUUAUUCCCAUGUACAAGUGAAGUCGAUUGAACCACUCUGUAUAUUUGUUCAUGUUUUUCUAGCCAUAUAAAAGCGUGUCCAGAAUCAUUUUUUUGUUUCACUUAACUGACCACUAGAUUUGGAAAAAAGAAAAAAAAAACAGAUUAGAGAGUACUAGAGAUGGAUGACCAGAUAAGAGCCAGUACAAUAGAAGAACACUAUUGUAUUUGUCUUCUUCAGUAUGACCUGAUUCUUUGUAAAAUGUAUUAUAGUUUGGAUAUUUAUAAUGAAAUUGGUACUGCACAAAAUAAUCACUAUGCCUUUUUUUGCAGUGUAAAAUAUUGAUUUUUACCAAGUUCCCAUUUAAUCUCUCAUCUGAUUUCAGCCUUCCGUUGCUACUUCAAGACUCUUCAUCAGAUAGCUAUCAGCAAAAGGAAAAAAUAAAGUUCCAAGGCUGUAAGUUCAUCGAUUCCCUAAAAAGAAAAAAACAAUUUACUGACAGCAGUAUUAUUGAUUGAAAGAACUGCUUAGAACCUUUGGAGGAUUUAGUAACUUCAACUUGAAUAUAUUUGUCUUUUGACCACCUAACCAAAAUGAGAGGAUAGAACUAGAAGUUCCUGUGACUUUGUCAAUUAGGCAUCAGAAAUAAGUAAAAAGUAAAAUGAGAAUCUUUCAUUCAUCUAUGGUUGCUGGGGAAUAAUAUAUUUCAACAAGAGGAGAGAGAAUUUAUGAUUUCAUUUUGGGGAUUUCAACCAUUUUAACUCUUGUUUGAUCUUUUUGGGUGUCCAGAUGUUGAUAGAUAGUUACAGGGAGUAAAUGAGAGAAUCCUUUAUGGUUGAAAUGUCACUAUUUCUUAAGAUUUGCCUGCAGGAACUGACAUGUGCUUAUUUAAUUUAACAGGUUAAAAAAAAAAAAAAAACUAUUUGAGUGUUUCUUCCAUACCUAGUCUCUCCUUCAAAGUUAAUUUUUAUUCUCUUUUUUGCAAGAAAAUAUAUUAUGUCAAUUGAAAGUCUUAAACAAAAUUUUGAAUGAUUCCCAAUUAUAAUAUGUGCUUACAACCACAAGAACAUAAAAUAAAAGUAUAAAAAAAAUAAACCUGAAAAGAUUCUUUCCACAUGAAGAAGAAGAAGAAGUAGAGAAAUAGUGAUAGAUCUAACCUAAAAACAAAAAUAGCGAUGGUAGCGAUGGUCCACUUCUUGCCUGUUUUUGUUUGGGCUUCCUCCUGCAUUUUGUCCUCUACUUUUCAAAUGGGGAAGACGCCAAUUAUUUAACCUGUUUUUGUUGUCAAUUUCCUUCUUUUUAUUUCUCUUUUUCCAAAUCUACAUGUAUGUAUAUUUUGUCUGCUUUGGAAUUUUUUAUCUACUGAUAAUUUAAUUUUAAUUUUUACCUUAUGCUUUCAUUUUAUUUUACAUUUUAAAAGGGGUUCUUUUAAUUUCAGGCCAUUUACCCUUUCUUGCUGACAGCAACAAUUUAGUUACCAUCGGUUUGUUUGCACAAAUGUUCAUUCCUUUCUAAAUAUCAUUCCACUAGAGUUUCACGUGAAUGGUAGUAAUAAAUAACAAAUAAUAAGAACUUAAUGUGAUAAAAAUAGUUUUGGUAAAGGUUGAAACAAACACAUUAUUUUACGAUUUAUUUUUUAGUUUCUACAACCACAUUGUAGUGACACUCGAUUUUAGGGUCAAUUUAUUAAAGAAAGUAAAAUUAUUUUUUCUCUACGUUGUGGGGUCUAGUUUUUAUUCGUUUUUUAGGUUUUGAAAUUUACAUUUUUAUUUCUUAAAUUUUAAAUUUAGUUUUGUUCUAUAUCUUAAAAUGCUAUUUUACCUUAUAAUUAUAUGAUUGUUCUGUAUUAGUAUUAAAGGGAGAACGAGUGUUAUGCGAAAGACGUACUGAAAUUUAUGGAUAGAAUUCACACAAUAGUGUGAGAUUAUUGCAUUAAUUUGAAUUAUUUUGAGGAUGGAUAUUUUUAUCCUAAAAGAAAAGAAAGGAAAAGAGGCCAAUCAUGAGGGAGGCUUUUACUCUUGGCUUUAUGCACUUUGAAUUUUGCAUAAUUUUCUGUCCACAUUAAUUUUUCCCAUAACAAAGAGAAAUCUUGUCCACUCGAUUCUCUUCUUAUAAAGUAUCCAAUUAGUGUUCUUCCAAAUUUUGUUAAUACCAACAAAUUUGAGCCCUAAAAGCUAUAUCAUUUUAAAUUCCCAAGUUGAGAUUUAUUUAUUUAGAAAUUCUCUCUAUUUAGAGGCCACCUACAGCUUUCAUUUGUAAGGAUCAAGAUUGCUGAGCUGAAAAAUAAGUGCUUUAUCAUAUUAUAGGAUUCUUUUUUUAAAUUAAAAAAAAUACUAACAAAAUCCAAUUAGAAUUCUUUUAACUAUAAUUCAACUUGAUAUGUUCAGAUCUUUUACAUUAACCCAUCUUCAUAAUUUACCCACCAACGUUUAAAUAAUAUAGUUGUAAAUAUAUUUUUAUUUAGCUUUGGCUCACUUUGUUGACGUAUUUUAAAAAUAUUCAUUUUAUUUUUUGUAUUUUAAAAAUUAUUCUCGGUUCUUAGGUAUGGAAAAGAAAAUGAAAAUAAAUGAAACAAUAUAAAGUAUAUGAACAAAAAUGGAUCUACAUAUAUUGUUUUUUAUGAGUUGAAGAAAUGUUAAAAGUAUUUUUCUCUAACUUAUUUGAUUUGAAAGAUUUUGUUUAUAAUAUGAAUAUUUGGGUCAAAAUUAGAACCUUUUAAGAGACUAUGAACAAAAUUGGAAAAUAAUAUAAAUUCUUUUAGAAUCAAAAUGCAGUGGUACUCUUUCAAUUGUUCAGCUAGAGACUAUGACUAUAAAUGUUAUAAUUAGCCAUUAAAAGAGAGUAACCCAGCUAGCCUACAAAGCAAGACAAAACUUAUAUGUUUGUUUUUAUAGGGUAGCCCACACCUUUGACCAAAUAACUCAUUUUUAAUUAAUUGAGUUCACCAUUAAUGCAUCAGUUUUUAUGACAAAUUAAUGGGUUUCAUGGAAUAAUAAUAAUAAUCUUUCCAUUUCAAACAAAUUUGUUUAGAAAUUAUUUUAUUUUUGAUAAUCAAUAAACCCCAACUUGUUUGUGGACACAAAGGAGUUUUGAUGAUACAAUAGUAACCAACAUAAACAUUAUAUUAAAAAAGAACAUCGUUAUUCCACUUCAAAAGUACAAACUAUACUAAUAUUUAUAACAAUAAUAAUCCAUGGUGAUUCACUGAGCUACUUGUUCAAGUACUGGCUUUGGAGUGGACAAACUUAGCUGCAAAUCAGGUUGAUGAUGAUGACGAUGAUGAUGAUGAUUGGUUGUUGUUUGAAAAUUGUUGAUCGUAAUUGAGCUUGAAGAUUUGUUGAUGGGGGAUUGAAGAAACUUGAAAUAUGGCUCAUGAUGACGUUGAUUAUAAUGAUACUCAAUCCAAUUGAGAUUUGUUAAUUCUGAAAUAUUUGGAAUUGGAGUUGGAUUCCCAAAGGAAAUAUUAUUGGAUGAAGCUGGUUGGAUAUUAUAAUUAUUAUUGGUUGGUUUCAAAUUGUUGUUGAUGCUGCUGCUGCUGCUGCUGCCUUUUUCAACCACUUGCACUGUCAAUUUGUCCCUUGCUGCAGCACCCUGUUGUCAUUCAUAAUAAACCAUAAACACACAUUUUUCUUUUGUAGUAUAUAGAGUAGUGAAAGUCAUUUACAAUCCCAAUAUUCAAAACCUAAUCAUCAUUGAAUUUGACACCAACCCUACAAAAAAGAAUCAUUCUAAAACACACAACAAUGAAAGGAUUAAAUUGAAAAAAACAACUCAAUUAGCUUUUCUGUUUAUUAUUUGGUUAUUGGAGAACCUUAGAAUUUCAUUUCUGUAGUUUAUAAUUAUAAUUCAGUUUUUAGGAUUUUAUCAAACCAUAUUUACUUAAAUUCUAAUUAAUAUUGAAUUGUAUUUUACUUUAGUGAGUUUUAGUUUAGUAUUAUAUAUUAUAUAGAUACGAACUGGUAUUUAUAUUAAACAAUUAGUUGUUAAACUUCACCUUCCUUCUCGUAUAUAUUUAUUAUCAUUGAGUAUUAUAUGUGUUUAAUUAAUGACUAGUCAAUAAAAAAGGAAAGUCUUAUACGUAUGCAAAUGGGUUAUUUAAAAGUAAUAGAAUAGUGUGUAUUAUUAUUUAUAUUGGAAGAGGAAUAUAAAACAUUAGUGACGAACUAAUUAAAUUUAAGUAUAUAUUGACAAUAUUGGCUUUUGUCUUUUAUUUAUAUGAAUAUUCACUUACUUAGAAAAUUGGGUUAUCAUUCAAAAUUCAAUCUUUGGCAAUUGGCACAGAGAAAAAACAGAAAUAAAAUAUGUGAAAAAUUAGAGAGUUUUGAGAGGGGGAAGUUUACGUCGAAAAGGCUGGGACGACGCUGUUUUCUUUUGUUGAGAGUUGUGAGUCGUAGAAAGUAUUUUUGUGCAUGACUAGCUACUUGAGUCGGAGUUCUUGUCGUCACAAAUUUCCUCGAAAUUCCUCUCCAAUCUCCUUUUCCAAGCUUUUCUAACCCAAUUAGAAACACCUUAUGCUCCUCUUCACUCCAUGGUACACCUAUUCAAAUACCAAAAACAUCCCGAGCUAGUAAGUUGGUGAAACGAUAAAACUAAUUAUAUAAUCAGCUAGAACGGAGAAAAGAUGAAAUGAUAUUCCUAGCUAGAAUUCAAGCAUGCAAUUUAAUGCUUUAAUACCAUAAUUAACCUAAAAAAAUAAGAAAUAAGAAUAGCCAUAUGACCAAAACGAAAAGGAAAAAGAAUAAUUAAAAGAAGAAAAACCAUGUUUUUGUUUUGAAUCUUUUGAAUUCAUGAUGAAUGAUUCAGUACAGUGCAAGAAAAAUUACCUUUUUUUCUUUCAUGGGUUUUGGCGACGAGGCCGUCUGAGAGAUAUCCAUUUGACAAUUUCUCAGAAGAAGAAGAGGACGAUAAAGAUGAAGAAGCCGAAGAAGAAGAAGAAGGCAAAGAAUCCAAACUAAUACUCUUCUUCAACAAGGUGGUAUGAUGAUGAUGAUGAUGAGUUGUUGUUCCAUUAUCAAUGAGUUGAACUCCAAAUAACUUAAACUUGGUUUCUUUAUGCUUUUGAAUGGUGCAAGUUCUUGAAUUGUGACCCACAUUCCCACAGUGUGAGCAUUUCCUCACCAUCUCUCUCUCUAUCUCUCUCUCUCUCUCUCAAAUGGAAUCUCAAACUAACACCAAAUUCUUUCAAAAGUAUAAUAUAAAGGGUUUAAAAAGGAAGGGGUAGCUGUGUUGUUGUUUUGAUUAAAUUAAAUUAAAUCAAAUCAAAUCAAUAGGGUUUGUGUUAAUUAUUAAUUAGUGAAGAAAGAGAUAUGAUCCUCUCCUCCUCCUAGGUUCUUUCUUUAAUGAUUAUUGACGUAAAUAGCAAGUCAAGAGGUGUGUGUGUUUGUGUCUCAUUGGAUCAUAUUCUUUUUCUUAUAUGAUAAUAAUAAUGAUAUGAUAAAACUUAUCCUAAAAAUGGCAUCUUUUUUAAAACUCCCACAUGACCAACGUGACCUUAUAUUUGUCCCAUUCUUUCUCAUAUCUCUCUAUUUUAUUUUAUUCUUUCUAUCCAUUUUCACCUUUUCUUUCUUUCUUUCUUUCUUUUUACUCUCAUUUCUACUUAUUCUAAGUAAGUUAGAUUACAUAUUUGCACACGAAUAGUUUGAAAAUUUUAAGGGUUUUUCUUUAAUCCUAAUAAUACUUCAUUUGAAUUUUUAAAGAAUUUUUUAUACCUAACAAUAGUUUUUGAAAUAUUUAUAAAAAAUUAACAGUAAUAAUACUAAAACUUUUAGAAAUUUAUCAAAAAAUAUAUAUAGUAAAUUUGACAUUCUAUCCAUGUAAAUAUAAGUAAAUAUUUUAAUUUAUUUUACUACUUUAAAAAAUGCUCGAAAAAUUGUAGUAGAAAAUAUUUACAAAAUUUAAAAUUUUAUCAAUUAUGGAUGUAUAUUAUUUGAAGGUGUCUUUUUUUAUUUUUUAAGUAUGAAACAUAAUUUUUUAAAAAAGCUUAAGAAGAUAUGUUUAAUUUUUUUUCUUUAAAUUACUAUUAUUUGUUAUUGAAAUUGGGGUGACCACAAAAUUCCCACCAUACAUUAUUGUGAUGGGAAAAAGGGAGUGAUGUUGAUACCAACCAACAAAACCCUAUUUUUAGUUGGAGAUUUGCCCAAAAAAAAAAAAAGAAGAAAUUUGAAAUAAUUUCUUGAAGAUUGCUCCAUAUAAAAAAAGAUGGGAUAAAAAAGAGAAUGAUUACAAGCAAGUUGGCAGAACAACUACUGAAAUAUCAACAUUCAACACAUUGUGACCAUACAUUUUUGUGGAAGCUAUUUCCAUUGAUUAUAAACUUCCAAAUCAAACAUUUCCAUACAUUCCCUACACACACACACAAAAAUACCAACUGUUUCUUUUAGAUUUUCAACUUUGUUAACUAUCACGUUAAUGUGAUAUAUAUGUAUUCAAUUUUCUUAACAUAUUAGUUAACUUGUCAAGUUGGCAAAAACCUUAAUUUCAAUAGUAUUUUUGGAAAGCAUUUUAACCUAUAGUUUUUAAGACGAAGGACAAAAAUGAAUUCCAUAUGAGUCUAAAGUUCAUUAAUUCUUUUGUAUAUGAUAAGAAAGGUAAGGCAUUGGCCAUCAAAUCUCACCAUUUAGAAAUCCCAUGUUGUCUCCAACAUGGUGGACCAAAUUUCCAUACCCACAAUAUCAUUAUCCCCUCUCUCUCUAUAUAUAUAUAUAAACUAUAUUAUUACUAUUUCUAUAUACUUUGCAUAAAUAAUAAUAAUAAUGCUUUGUGUUUGUCUAACAUGAGACAACUAAUUAACAACUUAUUAUAAUCUCAUUCUCUUUAAACAUAAAACCCUAAUUCACAUUAACCCAACUUGUCCCUGUACUAUUGUUCUAAUAAUAGCAUUUUUCACAUUGCUAUAUAUUUAAUCAUCCAAAAAGUAUUAUUUAAUUGAUUAUAAUUAAUUAGGUGACAAUUUUGUUAGAAUAUAUAUAAGUGAAUUAGCGAAUUAAAUUUAUGAAGAGAUUAUAUAUAUAUUUUUUUUAACCUUUUCAAAUGGUAAAAAGAAUUACUAACACAAUUUAUUAUUUACUUGAGUAUUAAGCAUCAUAUUUUAGGGAGGUGAAAAUGUUUUCUCUACCCAACAUUUACUAAUUAACUCUUUUGUUUUUACUGACCCUUUUCAAACUUUACACCAAAAAUAUCGUAAAGUAGUUUUAAUUUAAGCAUAUAUAUAUAUAGGGUGUGAAAAUGAUAAUGAUGCAUCUUUUUCUUUUAUAAAGUAGUUUGACUUAAUCACCUCUCCCCAUUUCAAUAUUCUUUUCGAUAAUUAAUCAAUGGACUUUCCCUUACCUGCACUCAUCUCGUUUUAAUAUUAAAAACUAAAAUAUCACAUAUACAAACUGCACCAAUCGAUGAUAAGUACUAAUAUCUGUCCAAGAAAUAUGUUUUUUUCUAAGUAAUUAAGAAACCAUCAUGUAUAACCACACUAAUUAAUUAAUUUACUUAAUCUCCUGUUUCUUUGGCCUAAUUAUUAAAAUCCUAGUUGCAAUCUGAAAAGGUGUAGUAUAAAUUAAUUAUACACAUCACACUUUGAAUGUAACCUUUUCUUGUUCCCUUCAUUUCUCUUUAAUAUUUAAGGCCAAGUUGAGUGGAUAUCUUAUUAAUUUAUCAAAAUUAAACUCUAAUAUAUAUUGGUGAAUUUGACUGCUACUUUGGUUUCUACUUUGAUAUAAAAUUAGCAUAUGACAUAAAAAUAAUUAACUAAGUUGUUUUUUAUUCACUGUCGUCUAGUGAGUGAAGGAAGAUAGUUAAAGUAACACAUAAUGUAAGUUAUUAUAUGUUACAAAAUUAAAGCAUUAUCAUUUAAAAUAAUGGGAAUUAAAUUAUAAAUUUAAUAAAUCUUUCCAAACCAUAUAUUAUACUUUUAAUUGAAUUUUACAUUUAAUUGGAUUUUAAACUUUCAAUUUGACUAACCCAUUUAAAUUUUUAGGACUAAAUUUGUAAAUCUAAUAUGAAAUUAAUAUGAUUCAAGCCUAUUAAUUUAAAACAUUGUUGAGUUUCUAUGUAUGAAAUUAUGGUGAAUCUUCUCGAAGAUAGUGACUAAAUAAAAUUAAUUAUCACAUUUGCUAUAGUGACGACUAAAUAAAUAAAGUAACAAUAUCUUAAUUAAGGAAUAACGACAAAAUUAAACUUAUUACAAAUAAUUAAUAUUUAAAACGAAGCAAUAUAGAGAGAGAAGAAUCAAUUAUGGAAAUAAUAAUUAAUGGAAGUUUAAGAUAAUGUUUUAAAUUAACAAAAAAGUAUAUGGACCAAUUUGGUUCUCCAAAGUUCAAAACCCUCUAUUAAUUAAAUUAUAGACAAUUAAUUAAGAAAAUUCAACUUGAAUCUAUAUAAAAGCUUAAUUAAUUUAGAGAUAAUGACCAAAAGCUUAGGGGUUGUGUGGAGAUCAUUUGCUUUAAAAAACCCUACUUAAUUUUUUUUAAUACAAAAUAAUUAUGAGUGAUGGGACCAACUCAACAUCCAAACCAAAAUUUCUAAGGUAAUUAAUUUACAUUGUGGAUAUUAAUUAAUCAUGCCAUUUUUUAUUUCCAAAAUUAGACUUUAUUAUAAGAAAAGUUAAGUCUAACUUAAUUAAUUGAUUACAAAUUAUGAAAUUGACUAUUACACGAUAGGUUGAAGUGAUCAUAACAUAAUACUAAUGCAUAUCAAAUUAAUCUAAUUAGUGCAUCUAUGAUUCUUAAUUAUAAGAAAACAAUAGUGUUUAUAAUUAAUAAUGGAAAUAAAAUUAGACUAAUUCAUUGAAUAUGGUCUAAAUAAUCAGGUAAUUAAUUAAGGCAAUGAAUAUAAUCAAGGGAUGUUCUCUCUAUCUCCAAUAAUCAUGCAUGAUAUAGGAAAUUAAAGUUGAUUAAUUAAGAUGGUUGAAUAUUCCCUAAUGUUGACAUUCUUCUUUCUUUUUUAUUAAUUUUGCUGUAUUGAUUAAUAGUUAUUUUUUAGUCCUGACAUUAAGCUUAAUUAAUUUUACGUAUAGUUUAAGGAUGAUUAAAUUACAUGUGUGAUGUCACUUGAAAAUGUGUUGAUUAUUUAAAUUAUAAGCAACCAUAUUAUUGCAUAUGAAAUGAAAUUAAACACUAAUUAAUUUGCUCUUGCUCUCAUGAUUAAUAUAAUUAAAUUAGCCUCUUUAGGUUACGUGAUGCAUCUGCCCUCUAACUUAUCUUCAAUUGGUUUAUUAGAGUGAUAUAUAUGUAAGAAAAGGAAAUUAAAUUAAAUUAAGAAGAUAAUUUUUCUUAAUUACAAGCUAUCAAAUUGUUAGCUUAAUUAAUUAUGAAGAUUAAUAAGGCAUACUUUAUUUAAAAGAAAACUAUGAUAUACUAUAAAUAAAAGUGUAUAUGUCAUCAUGUAAAAUGAUAUUCUGAAGUUUGAAGAACACACAGACUAUUAAAUUAGUAUUAUAUUGUGAAGACAUGUAGAGAAUUUGGUUACAAAGUUUUGUAUUAGUCAUACAAAUUUUAAUUAAUAUAGGUCUAAUUCAAUCCUUAUUAUUAAUUAAGAUUUAAGUCAAUAAUCCAACAAAAAAGAUUACAUGAUAUUUUCUUUCUCUUGUUAAUUAAUAUUAUUCACACCUAAGCAAUAAUAACAUAUAUUCACAUUAUUUAUAUUUGAAAAAUAUUAAUUAAUUAUACCAAUUUAAAUCUUAUGUUAUAGAGUGAAUCAAUUUAACCUAUUUAAUUUCUAAUUGAAAGGUCUAAAUUGGAUUAAUAUUUUUAAAUUUCAGUGUUCAAAUCAAUAUUCUUACUAACUGUGAGGGGUAAAUAAAUAAUGUACUUAUUCAAAAUUAAGAGAUAUUUAAUUAUGUUCGUUUUACAAUUUAUCAAACGUUGAUCAGAACAAACUUCAUAUAUAAUCUAAAUUAGAGUGAUAUAUUUCAACCGACACGAAUCUCUCACCUAACUCCAAUAAUAAAAAAUAUAACUUGUGAAGUCAUUAAAUUACAUAAUUAAGAAAAACCAAUAGUUAAGAGGAGAAUAUUCAAGAAUCUAAAGACAACUAUACUAUACCAUAAGACUAAGCAAUUUUGGAAUCAUGUCUACAUCUUUUAUCUAACCAAAUAAAACAAACAAAUAAAGUAAAAGCCAUUGACAAACAAAAUUCCUCUAAUAAGCAAACUUUGGUUAUGAUUGAAAAUUAAACUAAGCCAAACUUUGCACCCUAAGUCAAAAAGGGACCCUCCUAAUUAUCUUAAUCACGACUAUUUAUUUACAUCAAUGAGUUUAAUUAUGAUUUAAUGUGUUUUUUAUUAAAAUUUUAUCUCAAUUAAUUUAAAAUUAUUUUUAAAUAUAGUAAAAUAAAUUAAAAUAUUUAUAAAAAUAUCAUAUUUGAUAGGACAUAAUAUAACUAUUUAUUAUUUCUAUUGUCGUAUAAAUUCAAAUGGAAAUAAACUAUGAUUUUAAUUAUUUUUUCCAUCAAUACCUGUUUUUUUUAAGAUGAACAAUAGAACAUUAAUCAUUUAAAUAAUUCUUAUGAAAGAUUAAAAUAUUGGUUUGAAAAAUAAGUCAAUAAUUAUUUUAGCAUUAUUCCCAAUAAGAAAUGCUAUUAAUCUAAUAACCAUUUGAAAUUCUAAGGUUGUGGUUGUGAAGUUUCCUUCUGUACUAAUAUAUAUGAAAUGAAUGCAUAUGUAUAUAUUUAACUUUUAUAUUUUGAAGGAAUCAUAGGUUAUAUGUAUAUAUUUAUAUUUGAAUAAACAUGUCAUUAAAAUACACAAAUUAACAUUUAGAGGUCCAAUUAUGAUUUAAUUUGAUCAUUCCUUUUGUAAUUUUUUAACUUAAUAGAAAAAUGGACAAAUGCCAAACUGAGUAUAUAGAUUACUAUUUAAGCACAUGGUCUCUUUAUUGUCUAUUUGUAUUUUGUCCAAUUAAUUGUUAGUUCUUACACAUCUCCUAGCAAUAAUUUUGAUGUCACAUAUAUCAUAUUAAAGUAUAUUAUAAUAAAGUGUAUCAAAUUAAAUUUAGUUUAUAGUUUUUUUUUUUCUUUGUUAUAGUUCAAAUUUGAUCCCUAUAAUUUUCAAAGUUUCAAUUUAGCCCUUGUUAAUGAUUGAAACUCUCUCCUUUACUUGAUGUCAUCUUCUAAUAUACAUAUAACCAACAUAUUAACAUAUCUUAGAUGUAUUUAAGAUGCAGUAAUGUCUUGUAAUAUAACAAUAGAGAUAAUUAGUAAAAUGCAACCCAACUGUGGUGAUGAAAAUGACCAUUAGAAAACCAGUACACUAAAUUGAAACUAUAACUAAAUUAAUUAGAUGUAUGGAGUGAUAAACAUUCAUAAUUUCAUACCUCCCCACAAUCAUAUCAAUGUAGUUAUUAUAACGUAUAUCAAAGUUGUUAAGUUCGUCGAAACUGCUACUCUCUUUAAUAGCAGCAGGUCAAGACUUCUUUCUGAUAUUUGAGAUUUUGAUCAUCACAACACAUUCUAUUAGAUUAUAUUUCUCUUUUUUGUCCACAAAAUUGUAAUUUAAUUGCUCACAUUUUGGAAUGUAAUGCACCAUAAACUGACGUCCUUUUCGUAUAGCUUAAAGAUCAUUCUCCACAUGUUAAUGUUGCUCUGUCAAAAUGAUAUUCAUCUCUUUGCUUUUCUUAUAUAUUGAACGAAAAUGGACAUUCAAACUCUCACGUUUUGGGCCGGGAUGUUAGGCCCCGGGCCGGUUUCGGGAGUUAUAAAUGGGCCGCCUUUAACUAGUUGGGCUUGGGCCGUAACAUGAAAAAGCAGUAUUGGGCAAAUCCUGUAAUUCAUACAGAAAGCAGGGGUGAAUUUGCAAACUUGGUCAAAAUUUAUUGAUAUCAAUAAUUAAUAUUUACAUAUCAUAGCUUAAAUGAUUUUACUUUAUGGCAUGUAAAGUCUAUCCACUACCAAAAAGAAAUUGCCUUUUUUAACUAUAUUUUCUAUUGUUCUUUAUGUUUAAAUUUUAUAUUUUACUUUUUUUGUCAACUUGAUCUUUUAAAAUAUUACAUUAUGUCAAAUGUAUUAGAAAUUUGUUGAUAAUUUAAAAACAAAUUGAAAGACCAAUGACCAAUUUUUAGGACACAAACAAACUAAAUAUAGUUAUUAAUAGCACCAAAUAAAGGUAUUGAGAUUUUAUGAUAUGAAGUUUAUUAAUAAAAAUUUACUCUCUAAUACAAUUUAUUUAUUUUGUGUCUAAUAGAUUCUAGAAAUUUAAAAAACACUCUCUUAAACUAAAAAUCAUAGCAAAACGAAAAAAGAAAUUGAGAAUAAUGUUUUUAUUUGUUGAGUUCUUUCAAAGAAAAGAAAAAAGAAAUUGAGAAUAAGAUUUAAUAUUUAGAAUAUUAUAAAAGUUGGGACAAAACGAAGACAAGAGUCAUUUAAAACAUACCAUAGUACUAUGCACUAAAAAAUGCUAAUUAUUAGUGACAAAGAAGACCUUUCACAUCUAUGCUUUCACUUUAUUGCUAAAGGGACCUUAUAAAAGCUUCUUUAAAAAAAAAUAUUAAAGGGUAUAUUUUUACAUUCGUACAACUUAUCCUUUGAAGAUAUAAUAAGACUAAAAAUAAUUUUAUUUAGUAGGUUAAAAUUUGUUAUCGAAAGUUUAAGAGUAUAGUUGUAACUUUUACUAUACUUUGAAAAUAGUUUUAAUUUUUGUAGUUAUUGAGUUUUUACAAUAUCAUUCAUGAUGUCAUAGCAAUAUUUAAAAUAUAGAAUUCAAAGUGUGACAUACUAUUUUUUAAAUUCUAACUUGCUAGUGAACUUAGAAUAGAACGGAUAAAACAAAUUAAUGUACUAAUGGUUAGUUUUCAAACGUGUUUGGUUUGGUCGGUAACGUGUAUGUUAGGAAGAUUUGAAACAUAUACUAUUUAGUAGAUACUAGUAUCACAUGUCAAUUGAGUUAUAAGCUGAAGGUAGAUACUAGGAUGUUAUUUUUUACCCUAAGAAAUUUAUUAUAUAGUUCAAAAGCAGGAUCAUAUUUUGACUGAGGAAUAAUUUUGGAGAUAAUGAAAAGCCCAAGAAGAAACCCCAUGUUGGUUGGUUUGAACUUUUGAUUGGUCUCUGUGUCUUUUCAAAACUGAGCACACUGCUCUGAGUCAUGGAGAGGUCCGGACAUUGGCGACCCACCAUGGAACCUCUCUCUGAAUCCCAAUGUGAACCUCUCUUUUAUCUUUCUCACCUUCUCCAUUUUCUUUCAAUUUUCUCCCUUUAAUAAUGGGGGUCGAAAGAGAUUGUGAAAAAAGGCACACAACCCCAAAACCCCUUGAAACCCCUCUUUUUGUUUGUCAAAAUUGUUUGCUUCUUCAAAUUGAAAUUCCAGUUUCUGGGUUCUGAAAUACACAAAAAGCAAAACCCAAGUUGAGAAGAAAAAGGUAGUAAUCAGUAUUCUCUUUUAGUAGUAGUACAGUAUGUGAAACCAAAAAAUGGGUCAGGAAAAAGAGCUAAGCUAAGAGACAUUGAAUUUGAAAUAUUUUGUCUUGCAGUGUGGAUUGCCAGCAUUUCUCUGUUUGGGUUUGCAGGCAAACCAAGCAAGGAACAGACCCCACAACCUCAGUUUUUCACACUCAACCAUGUGGUAAUGGUAAGAAAAAACAUAUAUUUACUAUCAAUUUUAGUUUCCUGAGUUUUUUUCUUUUCUUAUUUUUGUCAUUGUGCUGUCAAAGAAUUUGUUCUUGGAAAAUCAAUCUCGAGGUUUGAGUUUCUUUAUUAUCCAACGUGGAAGCUGAAUGAUAAUUACACUUGAUUUUAAUAAAUGUACUGUCUUUUCUGUGAAAAAUAUUUUUUCUCUUUAAACUUUCAAGAACCGUACACUCUUUGAAGCAUAUUUUGUCUAUUAAACUCUUCAUUAAGAAAGAACCUUCUCUUUCCGUUCUUACUUGAGUAAUUAUUAAAGCCCACUUUAUGAGAGAAAGAGGUCUUGGUUGGAACUUCUUGAACCUGAAACGUUAGUUGACCUUGACAGGACAGAAAUUGGAUUAGUACUUUCAGAGAGACAAUUGAGAUGGUUAGAAAUUAAACCCCUUUAAUGGUUUCACUUACCAAGCCUGCAGUGCAGAGAAAAAGGCAAAAGCCAGAAGCAUUCUCUCUAGUAACAGCUACAUGGAAGUGUUGCACCAACAUUGAGGUUGUAGGUCCACAUUAUUUCCUCUAGUUAUUUCUGGUCAUUAUCCAGAUCCCAUUAUCGCUACUUGGUCAGAGCUCUAAAGAAAAAUCAGAGAAAAGAUUUAGAAAAUGGAGGGAAAAGUUUGGGUUGUAUCACAUCAGAUCCAACGGCAGAGCUCUAGAUUUAAGAUAGAAUGGUAAUGGAAAAUGGAAUCCUGAUCCGAGAAAUGAAGGCUAUCUAUUUGCAUUGUUUCAUCAUUCUGGUGUUACUCAAUGAAUAACCAUAAUGGUCCGAAUACGAAUAUUAAGGAAGGUUAGUCUAAUAAUUGAAGAAAUGCAUACACCCAAAACUAGCUGAUGGGUGCUGUUUUCAUUGCGAGACAUUAAAUUUGUCAAAGAUAUCCCACAAGAUCUUCUCGUCAGUUUUGGUUUGCUUGCAUCAUCAUUUUCAGGCUCUUUUCUCUCGCCUUUCUCUGAGACUAUAUCUGUUCAAAAGUACACUGCUGAAACAGUAGUCUCUCUUUUUUCACAUUUGAUUGCCUUAAGUUCUUAGUUGUUUGAUUCUGAAGAGAAAGUGUGAUACUUUGUUACUGUAUUACUCUUGCUUCUCAUCACUUUGGCUUUCUUGUUCAGAAUAGCUUAAAAAGAAAGGGACUGUCUGAAAAAUGGUGCUGAGAAGACCUGGCAGGAACAGGAAUUUCAACAGAGAGAAUCCAGAUAUUUUGAUUAUGAUGAUUGCAGUGGAUCAGAUAAUAAGAGGUUGUGAGCAGGACAAAGGAGAUGGCACAGAGAGGAAGGGGAUGGGCCCUUUAAAGCCUGCAACAAAGAGUGAGUGGUUUCUGCAUCCCAAGAGCUAUGGUCUCUCCUCUUUCUUGCUCUCCACCCCCUGGUUUUCUCUUGUGCGGCUGAUACUUCCUUCUAUCUUUAUUUAGUGGGUCCAUUUCCUCCAUCUCCACCUUCAUGCAGAGUCCUCUUUUUUGCCUCUUCACUCUCUCUCUCUUCCUUUUAAUGGUUCUCUGAGAUGGGUGUCAUUCAUUUUCCAGAGCUGUACGUAUUUUAGCUUUAAAGUUUGAGAACAGAGAUUGAGAUUAUACAUCUCCCUGCCGUUCAAUCCUCCAAACUUAAGCUUCUCGGGGUUUGAGCGCUUGAAGCUAUUCCAUUCUCCUUUUUUCAUGCAAAAUUUUGUAUCACUUUUCUUUUACCAUCGGCUUUAUGUUGUUGUGAUUUGGCAGAAGCCGGAAAAGUGGGAAUACAGCACCAGUCAUUAUUACUUCUUUUCCCCUUGUUUUUUUCUAUAAAAGCAAAGCUUCUCUUCCACUUUAUCUGAACUUUCACAAUGGCACCCUUUUCUGGAGAAACAAAAGAAACCAAGUUCUUUGAAUCUUCUCCUUUUUCUUUUUUAAGUUGUCUUUGAUCACCUGUGAGUGAAGAACCAUAAAGCAGUGAACAUUAUAGCAAUUUUUUUUCGUUUUAUAACUUGCAGGUUUAAAGCUCUUCACUAAGCCAUCACAUCCAUUUAAUUUGCUUAGAAAUUCAGGACACGGUCAUUUUUUUUUCAGGGGAUUUGGUGUGGGGCUUUCGCUCUAAGUUUCUCAUCCUAUAUAGGAUGACAGAGAUUCAUCAAAUGGAAGGUUGGUUUCUUUGUCAUUUUAUGCUAAUGGCUCAAUGUUUAUGUUCUGGCUGGUGGUUUACAGAGUGAGUUUUGAUGUGGACCUUUAUUUCUUCUGUCUUGUAUGAUGUUAUGUUUGUUCCCUCCUUUGUAUCGUGUGUCAAAAUAAAUUGAACAUCUUCAACGAAUGGCUUGUCAAUAUUAAUUUUUUGCUGGUCCCUAAACGUAACAUGCUUUUCACUCUUGUGGCAAUAGGUUCUGGAUAUGUUACAACUACUAAUUUCCCUUUCCAACUCUGAAUAAUAAUAAUAUAGCAUAGCCUGUCUCUAGAGGAAUGUGAAUUUGGAUGUCUGGAUUGAGCUGCAAGUUCAUUUCUUUUUCCAUUCAACUGAGAAGUUCAUUUUUUGUUUGAUAAUGCUAUAUUGACUUAUAAAUGCUAUUGAAAUCGCAGCUAAAAAGUGAAUGUGGUUUGAAUCGAGUAUGUUAAUCUCAGCUGUUGCUUUGGAUAAAGAAUGGUAGUUUUCCGUCUAGACUGCGUAUGGGUGGGCGAAUGAUUUGAUGAAUGCUCUGGUGGAUAUGGUAAACCCAAAUUCUGUUGUUGUAUGUGAAAUUCUGCCUCUUGGCUUUUAGAACUCAGUUGAUACGUCCAAUUAAUGAACUAAGCAAUAUUACAGCUGGAUUUCCUAUCUUUUUAAGUCUGCGGGAGUCUGGAUGCUCUGCUCUUACUAGUGCUGAUAAUCAUAUAGUUGAACAAUUGACAUUUUGAGGUUUUCCAAUGUCUACUGCCCUGCAACGAAUCGAUAUGGGAGAUGCUUGUCUGGGUCCCUCUGGUAAUGCUGAGUUUCAAAAUCAAUUGGCAGUAGCCAUUCCUAUUUCUCUGUUUCAAUCUACCUCUCUUGCUCCAGUGAAUGAUAUUCGUGGAAAUACAAAAGAUUCAGCAUUUCCAGACCCACAGUUCCAGCAAUUAGAAACCUUUAGAACGUGCUUCUUACACAGUUACUCUAAUGCUUCAAAUUCUUCAUUUGCAAGUUCUCUGAUCUGUGAAGGUGAUGAGUCUCUAUGUAAUGCAAAUAAUAAGUGGGAAAGCGAUAGGUUUCAUUGUAUUCAGCAACUUUCUGGGGAGAAUCCGGAAACAUCUGAUUCCCAGACCGUCUUGUCCAUGGAACACCUGCACCAGAAUGGCUGGAUGUCAUCUAACACUAUGAACUCUAAGUUAUGGAAUGAGCUUUCUCUAAGCCUUGCUACAACCGAACCCGUCCUCAGUGGAGGAACUGAUUUCCUGGACCAGUAUUCUCAGUUGACUUUUUCUGGUGCUACUCAACCUUGCUUGAACAGCACAGAAUUAGCCUCGAACUUAAAUUCAGGCAGCUCUAGGGACCUCUCUCUAAGUUAUGGAUGUGGUAAUUCUGUUCGCCUUUCUCGAGCAAUAGCAGGAUCUAGAUAUCUUUCGGUCAUUCAAGAUGUACUUUCUCAAAUUGCAAGCUAUCCACUGGAAAACUCAGAUCAAGUUGAUCAUUCAACUACUGCAACUGGGUUUGUGCCGUUGUCAUCAUCAAGUUCCCUGGAUGAUGCAACGAUUGAAUAUGGUUCUGAUGUUACUGGUAGAUACAGUUCUCAAAUGGAGCCGGAAUGGCAAAAUCUAUCUGUUGAUGCCAAGAAGUCCCAUCUGUUGACUCUACUACAAUUGGUUGGUUAAUUUAAUAUAGCGUUUCUCUGAUUUUUAUCUUUUUACCCUUCUUAUACUGAAAAACUUGAUAGUGUUUCAGAUUGAUGAGAGGUACACUCAAUGCUUGGAUGAGAUUCAUACCGUUACUUCUGCGUUUCAUGCUGCUACUGAUUUGGACCCUCGCUUGCAUACUCGAUAUACACUCCAGACGAUCACUUCGGUGUAUAAAAACUUGAGGGAGAAGAUUACCAGUUGUAUUUUUGCUAUUGGGAAGCAUUCUAACGCAACGUGCACCAAGGAGAAGGAAAAAUUCUUUGAGGCAACAUUCUUACAGAAGCAGUGGGCUCUCCAGCAGUUGAAAAGGAAAGAUAAUCAAUUAUGGAGGCCACAGAGAGGCUUGCCUGAAAAAUCUGUCUCCGUUCUUAGGGCAUGGAUGUUUCAAAAUUUUCUCCAUCCGUAAGAUUUUGUGACAAAUCUGGUUUACUUUUUGAAGAUACGUAUAGUAAGUUGAAGGAAUGUUUGUUCUUUGGUGAUUUUUCAGGUACCCCAAGGACACAGAGAAGCAUUUACUUGCAGUAAAAAGUGGAUUAACUAGAAAUCAGGUUCUUGCUGCUUCAAGAUUUCCUUCAACUUUCAUGAGUUCUCCUCACUUUUACUGAGUUCUGCUAUUCUGGACUUUGGACAGGUGUCUAAUUGGUUCAUCAAUGCUCGUGUCCGAUUGUGGAAACCGAUGAUCGAGGAAAUGUAUGCUGAAAUGAGCAGAAGAAAAUCCAAUCAAAAUGAGGAGGGAAUCGAAAGAAUUCAUUGUCCCAGAUAAGCAUUAGCAGUGAGAAGAUGUGGCUCGAACUGUGAAAAUGAUAGACAGUAUUGAGCACUGUAUGGAACUUGAAUUGAUUAGAAAAGUGUACUAGACUGAAUUAAAUUCAACUAUAUAUUCUUUUUGACAAUUUAACCUGAGAAAUUUCUUUAGCUUCGCAUUCCUGGCUACAUCAUAAUAGACAAUAAAAUGCAAUUAGUCAGCAGAGAAACAUCACCACAAACUUCAUUCUGAAAAGAAGGAAAAAGAAAACACGAUCAAUAAGCGAAGUUCAAUCUAAAAACAUUAUUUAUUAAUUGAAAAUAAAUAAUUCUGAGAUUUACAGAGAAUGGUGCCCUCCUCCUCAACUAACUCUUUUGAUUACAAAUGAAAGAAUGACAAUUUCUGAUUUCUGCCUAGAAGUUUUCACUAUCAAAUAUUCUGUUUCCUUCUUUAUCUACACCCCACACCCACACCUCUCAUUCACGAACUGAUGGAUUGCCAAAGAAAAAACAAAAAAAACUGUCCCAACUCCUCACAGUACAUAUAAAUACAAAAAGUGAUUAAUAUUUUUUGUUGCGCCUCCUUUCAUCGUCUUGUUGUUCUAGACUUGCAAGGAGAUUCUUGUUUUUAUCGGUUUCAACUUCAAUCCCAUACUUUCUGGUGACAGAAGCUCGGGAGCUAUGCAAGAAGGGCUCAAGGGGCUUCUUGGGCUGACGCUAAAAUGAGAUGGCCUAUACAUGCCAUAUCCCAUGAGAAAAUACUCCAUAGGUAUCAACAUUGCAUCAGGCUGCUCCUCUGUCACCAUUGACCCACAUGACUGAACCUAAGAUGUGAGAAUAGCCCCUUUUAAUUCAUAGUAGUAUAAAGCUCGGUUUAUGAUUUUCAUGUAUAUUUAAUCUCCAAAAAGGAAAAAAGAAAGUUCAACAUACUUCCACUAGGGCACUGUAUCUUCUGUCUAGUUUGACAGUCAUGUGGUGAGCCUCUGAAUGGAACGGGGACCUGUCCCCAACAAAUAUCAAUGAACGGCACUUUAGUUUCCGUAACCCUUCUGAAAUGUCGGGUCUCCUGCAUGAAAGAAAAAAAAAGUUUAGGAGGGCCUUCGACCCCAUAUGUGUAUCAUCUAACUAAUGUAAUUUCACAUCAGAGGUAUAGAGGAAAAGGACCCCAACAAUUGUCAAGCACAAAUUCAAAGAUUGGAGUUAGAUGCUUACCCAUUCAUUGCUUCAAGAAACCUCCAGACGUUUGAACUUUGCCUCUCGUCAAGUGACUGUAGAAAGAACAUGAUCAUAAUGUUUGAUCAAACAAAUGCUCAACUCUUAAAAUCUGUCAAGUUUUCCAACUCUGGAAUAACUGACAGUUUAAAGUUGCUAAAAGAAAACGAUGAAAAUGCUGCAGUACUCACUCUUCUGCAUGCUUGAACUAAAUCUGACUCUGGUACUUGAGAACAACCACGAGCAUCCUACAACCAGCACAGUACAAAUGUCUAAUCAAACUCAGUUGGGAUGAAUAACUCUAGUAAGAGAGUUUGAGUUUGUGCAAGUAAACCUGCAGUUGGUCUGUGUUUAAGUUGAGAAGAAAAAAGAGUUUAAAAGUUCACACGUUCAAGUGCAAUUUUCAUAUCAUCAAAUUGGUUUUGAAGGAAUAAAAACCGAUUUCAUGGUGAUUUUGAAAACAAAGCAAUUUUCAUUUUUAGACCUACCUUACUGAAAUACCGCUUCAGCAACAACUCCUUCACUACCCCACACAUGCCAUAGAAAUAAAGCAAAUUUGACAUCACCUGCAUAUGGAAAAUCUGUUAAUAAGAUGAUUCCAAUAAACCAGAAGACGAUCAUAAUAGUUCUUUCGUUCAGAAAGACGACCUUAUUAUACAACCAUUCUGUCCAACAGGGCGCUGUGCAUAUGGGAGAAAUCAAUAUCAAACCAUGAACACGAUGUCUGUGCUUCAUCUGCAACCAACAAGUGCAAUCAAUAUAUGACAAAAGUUUACAAGAGGAACUGAAAGAAAAAACCAUGGGGGGGAAGGAUAAAGUAAUCAAGUGGAUGGUGAACAAAGAGAAAAAUUACAGCAAAGAGAGUGAGGAUGUAUGCUCCAGCAGUAACACCCAUACACAUCACAGCACUAAGUCUGGGAGAAAGAUAAAGAAGAAGAGUAAGUCAUCAGAUCCGUGCAUAUUCAUUUCGGAUAGAGCUCAAGUGUAAAACAAAUAAAACAGCAAAGCAUCAGACCAGUGGAAUUCAAAACUUUAAACAAGUCGAAGUUAUUAAAAAAAAAUUGAAGAUAGCCAAAAGGAAUAUCGAAUUACCCAAAAUAGUUAAGAACUUCAGCAAUUUGAUCUGCUAAGUCAUCUGCAGAAAGUACAGGAUCAUCAGGGCAAAUUGCAGCAGCUCCUAACUGCAACUCUUGAACAAGGUCCCAUUAUGAGAAGAAUUCAUGUGGAAGUAAAAAAGACAACGUACUUGUUGGAAAGUUCAGUUUCAUUGAAGCAACACCAAAAAAAAAUUACACAGUAGAUUAUUUUGUACAUAGCAUAGAUUAAAAGAAAUUCACUCGUACAAAGUAAUUUAUUUUAUGUAUGUGUGUGGAAAAAAAAAUAAUGACAUCAGUAGAGAUAUUAGAACAUCCCAAUUAUACAAACCUCGUGUCCGGGAGGGCUGAUAUGAUAUAUGCAAAAGUUGUGAAGCAAUAACGAACAAGCUUCUGGACAAAACAUUAAUCCUUGGAAGCAGAACAUAUCUGAUAAAUAAUAAAACAUAGCACGUUUAAACAUUGGUAACAGGAAAAAUUAAAGAAAGAUUCUAAAAAUCAAAGUCACAAGUCAUAGAAUCAUUUCAUUUUAACCCCAUAUCACAAUUUAUUAACCUUACUAUCCUCUUUAAAUAACUUAUUUUUGUCUAUUUUCAAAGAAUAAGCUUGUCUAAUAAAAAUAAUGGAUUUCAAAAGCUACUAUUAAAAGAUUUAACAAUUAUGUGGGUGAAAACAAACCAAAAAGGCAGAUGUUCCAGCAAAAGGACUGUAGAUAAUAGAGGUAAGAAUAACCAAUAUUCUGGAUUCCAAAAAAUUCAACACGUUAAAUUUAAAACAAAAACUCCAUCUAAUCAACCUUAAACUCCAAAGUGUGUCUAAUUUAUUCAAAGACUCCACUUCUACACUCAAAAUCAUGUUUUGAAUAACAAUUUACAUGACACAUUCUACAUACUCACGAUUUAGAGCUAAAUCGGGAUAAGUGAUUAAAGCUGGCUUGUCCAGGUCUCCAACCACGGUGACAGAAACAACACCAUAACAGGUUUUCACAAGAUACUCCUGCCAAAAAAAAAUCGAUUGAAGAAAUAUUAGUUUUCAAACGUAGUCAUCUGAACUAGAGAAUGGACGCACCAAAAAAAGGCGGCAAGUAAUACAGAACCAUAAAAUGAACUACUAUAAAAAGGGAAUUGCAAAAGCUUAAAUAUAAGGAAAUUCGCAGUUGAAGACGCAAACAAUAAAACAGAUUAAAGAAAGUUAGUCUACUAAAAUUCAAAAUGUAUUUCUAAACUAGUAAAAAUCCCAACAUCCAUCCACUUUUGGUAGACCGUUGAAUUCCGAACGAAAAUCAACACCAAUUACCCUUAGAAAAUCUAACUAAAAUCAACAAUGCACAUCCAAAAACCUUAAUUACCUCCGUGUAAAACGAUCACUAAUUACACGAAUUCAUCCAAUAAAAAACAUAACGAACCCCAUGUUUCAAUUCAAUCCAAACUUCCCAGCAUGUUCUCAAAAAGCAAACAAAGCACAGUGUUCAAACACAUGAAACCAGACGGAUUUACACAAGCAACAGGAAAUGCAGGUACCUUUCCUCCACAAGAGAUCGACUCCAUAUCCACCGAAACCGAGUCGCUCGAAUCCCCCAUUUCCUUCUUCCCUUAUUCUCUCACCUUUCUCUCUUCCCCUAAAUCCUCCUUCCCUUAUUCGCUACUCAAUACACAGAAUGCUCCUUCUUCCUUUUAUAUACCACCAAAUCUCUUCAACAAUUCCACCACUACAUUAUUUGGGGGAAAAAUUUCAACUCGUCCCUUCGAAUCGUCCGAGUCAAUACGAGUCACCGACGCCGCGUUCCCCUUCCAUCGCACAUUGACAGAAACCUCACGAGCGCCCUGUAACGAACAAACUAUAACCCGAUACCCUGGUUGGUUUAACCAUGGUUAGGAAGCCGACAGUUUAUUUGAAAUUACUUAAAUACCCACAAUUUCCCUUGACAGCGACCUCCUCUCUUACCACAUGAAAAAGGGCGAUUUUCGUCUAUUCACGUUGAUUUUUUAAUUAGUAAUAAAGAGGGAAAUAGUAAGUAGUUAAGCUUUGACUAAGGAAGAGAUAAAAUGAAAAUAAAAUUAAUAUAAGGGAAGUGUUAUUUUUAUUUGUGGGACCUGCGUUUAUUUAAAGUAACGUAAUCAUUUAUAUUAUAAAGUAUAUAAUCUGUCACAAAUUUUGGGGAGAGGUUUUUCCUUAUUUUUCUUUUUUCAAUUAUUCCAUUUAUAAUAUGGUAUUGUAUUUUUGUUAUUUAUUGCAUUGCCUAAAAGUGGGGAGUGGAUUUAAUGAAAAUAAUUUUAGAGGAUCUACUUGUUUUUAAAUUAGUUUCUGUUUUUGUUAAUUUUGUUUAAUUACUUUUUUUUGUGCAUAAAUACAGUUGAGUUUUUAAUAGUAUUGUUGCACCAUUAAAGUUAAAACCUUUUCUUCUUCUUUUUCUUUUUAAUAAGGUUAGUUGUCAUAUACCAUAUUUUCUUGCCCUAAUAGAUUUCAUCCGUUUAUUGAAUAAUAAAUUAUUGCCUUUUUAAUUAAACUUUCUAUAAUACUCUAAAAAAAUAUCAUUUCGGGAUGAUUUUGUUUGGUAUAGGUGUGAAAAUGAUAGAUUGAAUCUCCAACUUAGUGAAGUAUAUGUGAAACAAAGUUCAACUGACAUUAGAUGUGUAUUGUCACAUUCUAUGUUAAAGGAUACCGAAUUCAUGAAUCUUCAAAACAAAAAACAUUAAACAAUAACAUGCAUCCAAACUAUUGUAAUAUUUUCGUGUGAAUGGUGUUGCUUGAGCGAACAUUUUUUAUAAAUAACAAUGAUGAAAUGUUACAAUUCUAAAAAAAAAUAACUAAAUUUUUUUUCAAUUUUUAUUACCCUUUAUUUUAUUAAAGAAAUACCAUUGAAACCCUUCUUAGAGAUUUUACUUACAGUGUCAAUUAUUUACGUAUAUACUUAUAGAACAAAAUCAUUAAAAUAUAUAAUUUGUUAGGUGUAAAUACAUCCUUAAAUGUUAUAUUUUUUUACGAAUUUUUCCUUAAAUUUGUAUAGAUUUAAAAAUAUUUGAUGUUAUAAGUUAAUAAAAGAAAAUGGUUGAAAAAUGGAAGAAUGUCCACGUGUAAAACAUAAGUAAAGAUCUCGACCGUGUAAUGUUUUAAGGAAUGCAAUCGAAAUAUUUUAUCUUUCAAAUAAAAUAAUACAAAAAGUAAAAAAGAUAUAUAUAUAAUAUAUAUAUAUAUAUAUAUAUUAAUAAUAACAUUAACAUAAUAUGUUUAAGAGAAGUGGAAGCAUAUAAUAUGUUAUCAUUCUUAUCCUCUUUUCUCUUUAUGCUUUACUCUGUUUUGGAAUUUUGGUCCACUAAAGAUAAGUGAAUGCUUCUUUCUUUCUUUUUCUUUUGAAAUAUUGAGAGAAAGAAAUGGUUGAUCAAAAUAUUAUAAUAAAUAAGUAAAAUACAACAUUUUGUUUUAUAUAUGCACGUUAUAUAUUUCACUAGGUUUGGAAAAUGAUGCGAUAUAUGUAACUCUAGAAUAUCAAACGUGGAGGAAUUUUAUUUGCUUAUUUGAUAAAGUUCUUUUAAGUUGAAAAGUUCACGUUAGUUUGUAAUUAAAACUUAAAACAUCGUAGUAAAGAUGAGAAUUAUCUUAACACAUGCAAUGUAGUGCAUCGUUUCUCAUCCAAACUUCAUUGUAUUGUUUGUUCUUCGUACUUCAUAUUGCAAGUGUAUUUUUAAGGUUUUUUUUUUCGUAAAUUGAUAAUACAAUUGCAUCAUACAAUUAAGCUAAGUUUGUUUGUUCUUUUAAGCAAAUUAAAAAUUAACAUGGUGUGUCUCGUACUGUUUUAAUUUUAGUUAUACUUGUUAAUUGAACAUUAUUAGACAAUUUAAUUCAAUAGUUGAUUUGUUAUAGGAUACCUUAUUUAAAUUAUAUAUUUAUUAUUUUGUUGAACGAUGAAUCGAAGACUAAUAUAAUACAUAUGUGAUUAUGUAUUUUUUUUCAAAAUGUGAAUAUAUUGCUAUAUUUAUUUGUUAUAAUAAAUCUAUUUACAUUCGAAUAAAAAUAACUAGUGAAUUUUGUAUCUUUUCAUUUAAUUUGUCUUCUAUAUCUCACAACAAUUGUCAUGCAUGGCAUGAGUUGGUCCCACGAAAUUAAAACAGUGAAUUGAUUGAGCAAAAUAACUAAGUUGGAUUUUGAUGGUUAUUAAGCAACGAUAAAUCACACAAUAAAUUAGAUAUUCGACGUGCUCUUAAGAGCAAUAUAGAAAGUAGAUAGUUAUUACAAGAAUAAACGAUGAAAUCACGUCAACAAAGUAAAAAGAAAAAGAAAAAACAACACAAUAAUGUUGAAAUUUUUGUUUAAUCAUAUUUUAUACUUUAUCAUGUCAAAAAUUAAUUAUGUACUCUCCAUCAACAAUCUUAAAACAAAGUCUUUAGUUUUGUAUAAAAAAAAAUUGAUUAAUAAAAACAAUUAAAUAUGGUAUAAAGUAAUUUAUAUAAUAAACCUUUACACAAUUUAAAAUUAAUAAUAAUGCAGUAAAUCGUGAUGUUAUUAGUAAAGGAAUGGACAAAAAAUCGCACGCAUGUGUCACGUGAUUAAUUAUUAAAUAGUAAAAUUAAACAUACCAAAUCACAUAAUGAUUUUAAGGUUGGAAAAUGAAUAUAUUUAACCAUAAAGUGUAGUUAGGUGAUGUUAUUAUUUUGGAAUUUAAAUGGGACAUGUAGUGCCUUUCCUUAAACUAGAAACCAUGACCAAAAAAAUUACUGAGGACGCAAAAAACUAUGCUAUAAAAUAAAAAGCAACGUCUGAAUUGAAGUUCUAAUGUCCUUCCCCCAUCAACAACAACCAUUAAUAGCUCCACCCCAACUCAACACCAAAAUCCUUUUCCAAGUUUAAUCCUUAGAUCUACUCAUCCAUUCUUUGUUAUACUAAACCUUUUUCACUGUUACAUCAAUUUUUUCAAAAGGUUCUAGAGUCAUCAUAUGACGUUGAAUUUUAUUUUUUUUCCGCUAUCUUCUUUAUCAAGUUUGAAAGGUGGUUCGAUUUUUCAUUUGGUUUAUAUAUCUAGAUAUCAAAUUGAACCAAGGAGAUUUGUUGUAUAUAAAAGAAACCACGUCGAUGUACAUAACAAAAUAAAAAAUCAACUUUUAUUCGAUUCAAUCGACUUUUUUCUUUUGAAAAAUUAAAAAAAUAGCAAAUUUUACAAAAUAUUUACAACUUAUAGUAAAUUUUGUAAAUUCUAGUGAUAGUCACCAACCAAUAGAAUCCAAAUUUUUGUUAUAACUUAUAAAAUAUUUUAGUUUAUUUUGUUAUUUUUAAAAAUUGUAUUCUUUUUAUUUAUCAAAAAGGAAAUAUAUGACUUUUUAGACUAUAUAUAUAAUAAUAACAAAAAAAGAGGGAGAAAUAAGAGAAAUAUGUAAUAAACUAUUUUUGUCUUCUUCCCAUUUAGCUUGCUAGUGCAUGUAACCUAUAUUCUAAGAAAUAAAGGGAAAAUAAUUAUAUUGGGGACUUUUGAAUGGAGAUAGCUAUCUGUUUACAUUAAUUUCAACAUUUACAAGUAAAGCCAUAAACAAUUAAUAUUGAUGAAUUUAUAUGUGAAAAAGCUACCAUAUAUAUUAAAUAUAUAGUUUAAAUUAUGCUAUAUAUUUAUGUUUCUUGAAAUGGAAAACAUGUUAGGAUGGUUACGUUAUUCAUUUUUAACUUUCCUCCUUGAUUUAUGGUUGCAAAAUUCAUAAUAUAACUUUUAAUAAGUUGACUAUAAAAAUCAUUAGAUGUUAUUCGAAUAAUAUCGGUUAAAUUAGAAUAAUAUAACACAUUAAAAAUAUUUGGACACACCAUAAGAUGCCCAAAUUAAAUGUUUAACUAAUACAAAUUAUCUUUUUAUUGUUUGACAACUUAAUUUAAUUUAAAGAGGAAAUUUCUAAUAUAAUAGUUUCAAAAUUGUUGACCACCUAGGCCGCUACUAAGAAUCGUGUGGAAUCUAUAAUUUAUUAAUUAUAAUAAUUAAUGGAAAUGGUAGGUAAUAUAAACUUCUACUAGUAUCUCUUAAAGUUUAAAUUUACUAUAAAGAAAAUUAGAAUUUGAGUGGAAAUUAAAUGGUCUUGAAUUUGGAAAGGUAAUUAAUUCACCUAAAUGGAUAAACAUCUAUAAUUUUUCUUUUUCUUUUCCUUCCAACUCGUAGGCACCUUACUAUGAUGCUAUAUCGAAACUAUACUAAAAUUAGAUGUACUUAUAAAUAUUUUCUAAUAUGCUCUCACUGAUUCCAUGUGAACCCCAAAAGGAAAAAAAAACGUUAAACUUAACCAAAAAAUCAAAAGUAAUUAAGUAAAAUCUCAUCGUCAAUUAAUUUCAAGUUUGGUAUCAUGGUCGAUAUCAGACCAUGUUGAAAAUUUCACACAUUGAACAAACUAAGAAAACUCACACUAAUACACAAUAUAAACCUUGAAUGAAACAAUAAGUAGAUAAAUAUCUCGUUACUCGAACAAAUCAUAAAUAGAAGAUGUGAAAGGGAAUUGAAUGGGAGGGAGGGAGUGAGUGAGAGAUGUUUUUAAAAAGGAAGAAAUAUUUUUGGGAAAAUGAGAGAGGGGGAGAAAGCAAUUAAAAGCAUGGGGGGGACAAUUAAUGACAUUAAUUGAGAGUAGAGGCAUAAAGGUAUAGAAGGAAAGGGGGAUUGGAAAGAAGAAGAAGAAGAAAUGCAAUAAUAGCCAAUGGCAAGCAUGUGAGUGUCCUUAACAAAAGCAUUGAAAAUUGAUUGCCCAAAUGAAAUAGUUUUACUUCUGAUUUGGCGCUCUUUUUGCUGCGGCUAUCGCGUUCACAUGUGCUUCUUCCCCCCUCCCCUCGCCCCCAUAUGUUGCUUACCACUGCCCUAACUUCAAUCCUCCACCGACACAUUUCAAGCCCUUUUUCUUUCCUCUUUUCAAAUAUCAUCCCUACCUCAUCUUUCUUUAUUAUAACAAAUUAUUCUAAACUCUAAUUCAAUAUUUAUAAAAUGUAAUAAAAUUUUAGAUUUUGUAGUGAUAAACGUUUAUGAAAGACUGUUACCGGCUUGAUGAUUUUUGUUAUAUUUGAAAAUACUCAACUUAAUAUCGCUUUUCUUUUAAUAUUUGAGGUUGAAUGUAUGUUAAUUAAUUCGUUUUUCGUUAAUUCUUAGACACUAACGUUAAACAACAAUUAGAGCUAGUAUAUAUUUAGUACCAACUACAAUUGAAAAAAAGUAUAAUAUAUUGAAAUUUUUUAUAAUAAUAAUAAUAAUUUAUAAUUUGUUUUCAAAUCCGAAUAAUUAAUAGACUAAAGUGACCAUUAAUUAUCAAAUAUUGGUUUGGGAAUCAAAACAGAGAGACGUAGAUUAGAUCACAAGUGUGGAUAGUGGAUAAAUAAAUUAGAAGGAUAGAAUAUUCAAUUCAUUCAAACCAGAAACAUUUGAAUAUGGUUCAUUAAUUACUCAUUAUAUUUUAUCUUCGUGAAAUUUAAAUUAACUAGUAUUUAACCAUUUUUCAGUAAAGAUUUGAUCGAAUCUUGAAUAUUUUGGUUCUCAACACAUACAAGUACCAAUUGAAUUUAAUUUUUAUGAAUGAUUCACCAAUAUUACGUUGAAAAAAGCGUUUAAAUUUGUUUCUUUUAAAUAUUGCAAAAAUAAAUUCAAACCAUAUACACUCCCUGUCCUCAAGUAUUUUUUAUAAACCAUAUUAUAUAUAUUAUUAUGUAUUUGUGUAAUGUGUCGAAUAAAUAGUUGGAUGAAUUUUUGCUAUAUUUAUAAUAUAUGGUUUGAAUGUUUGAUAUUAAUGGGUAUUUGAUGCAUAACCAAUCAUUAAAUAAGAAAGAAGAAAAAGGGAAAAAAAGGGGUUCUGCCCAUAAUAAAAUACGUGCCGACAAUUCAAUUCACACUCACCUCUCUAAGCUUCAGAAUAAUUAUUAAAUGGUGGGCUAAUGAUAAAUAGAAAAUAGUAAAACUAUCAAAUUUUUUUUUUUAAUUUCUAUCUCAUGCAUUAAACUAUGUAACAUUAUUAGUCCUAUAGUAACACCUCAACCAAAGCUUAUGAUAUUUAUUUUGACAUUACAUUGAUAUAUUUGAUAAGGUCUCUUAAUCAAGGAUUCUUGAAUGUUAGCUUUUAAUAUGUAUUUGCUUGCAGUGGAUUUUUUAAAUACUUUGUUGUUGUUGUUUUUUUUUUAUAUAAUUAAUAUUUGACUAAAUUGAAAAAGAACACUCAAGUAUUAGUAUAAGUUGAACAAAUUCCUAUUUGUUUUGAUUUAUUAGAAAAAACUAUGGGCCUGGCUGUAGCUCAAUCGUACUUAGAUUACGGGCCGUUCUAUAAGGCACGGUUGGCAGAGCGUAGGCCCAAUACUUGGUGCUUAUUGCUCUGCCUCUGCUUUGCGAAUUGUUUUUGUGAUCCAAAAUACAUCUUAAUUUCUAAACUUGAGGUGCCGAUAGAUAAGUAAUAUGUGACUACUGAUAUUCGACGUAGAGAAAAGUAGUUAUUGACUUACGAAUAAACGUUAGGAAAACAAAGAGUAAAAUCAAAACAAACAUUAUCAAGAAAUGAAAAGAAAAAGUUUGUAUCAAGUGUGUAUCGUGAGUCACUUUUGUAAUGUAAGUUGGCAACAUAGAUUAACAUUAACAUAGAUGAUUCGUACUAAAUUUUGUAGUACUCGAUAGUCAAACUACAAAAUCUAAAAGUGUUUUUUCUUUGAUUAAAUUUUCUAGAUGAUUGGAAGUAAGUUUUAUUCAAACGAGGCAAGAGCAAUAAUAUUACGAAACAUCGAUUUAGUGUUUGUCAAGUCAGUUUUGCAAAGUUUAUCACUACAAAUUGAGUAAAUAUAAUAGAGUCACGUUUUGAAGGCCAUAUGUUAUAUGAGUUAUUUCAAUUGAAUAUACGAAACAACCAAACUCGUAAAAUUGUAAUUUAUUUACACUUUGUAACGUGGAGGAAAGAAAACCUGGAAAAAAGAAUCUAAUGCCAAGUCAACGAUGAGAUGAAAAAUAAGUCAUAAGUUGUUAGAUACAUCAGGUAAAAGUAUCAUAAUAACUUUACUAUUUUCUCAUGGAGGAAGGAUAAGAUAAAUUCUUCCUAUUUCUAAUAAGUUAGGGUAAGAUUUUAUUUUAUAUUUUAUUGACUCGUGACUUAUUCGAUAACGUUAAAUUUUAUCUCGAACGCAUGCAAAAGUUAUAUAUGGUAUGGGAAUAUUAUUUUUAAAAAAAUGUAUAAAUUAGAACCGUAAAAUUGUAUACAUAAAUAUGAAAAGGGAAAAUAAAUGAUUAAAGAAAUAAGUGAAGUAAAUAUUUGAAGCUAAAAAAAUAUUAAGAUUAAGUUAGAAGGAAAAAAUAUCGGAAGAGGAGAGAGACAUAGAGGGCGCCAGCGGGAUGAUGCUAUAAAUAUAAAUUCCCUACGCCAAAGGCGUGGUCAUUUAUUGAAAGGAAACCCAUCCUCUUUCUUGCCGUCCUCCGCUUUUCUCUUCUUUUAGGGUUUCUCUCUCAAACUCUUAACAAUGGCUGACGAAGCUCAGUAUUCAUCUGCUACUGAUACUCCUUCCAACAAGCGCAAGUACGAUGACCAACCUCCACCCCGCCGUCCAACUGGCUUUUCCGGUCCCAUCACUUCCCCUUCAUCCGAUUCCGCUCCCUCCUACAACAACGUCCCUCCCCCUAUGGAUGAGAUCCAGCUCGCUAAGCAGCGUGCUCAGGAGAUUGCCUCUCGCUUGAUUAUCUCCAGCGGUGGCGUUGGGGCUGGUGCUGGACCUGGCGUUGGAGCAGAUGUCAAACGUCCGAGGGUUGAAAACGGCGGCGGGUAUGACUCCUACGACAAGGGUUUUAGUUCUGGUCCAGGUGAUUAUUGUUUUGAUUUUUUUUAUCUUUGUUUGAAUAUUUCAUGGUCUUGCGUGUUUGUCGAAGGUGUAUUGAUUUUCUCACGACUCAGUGAGCUUAAAGUGAGUCAGGUCUUGUAUAUGGGAAGAAAAUAAGUGGGAACACUCGGAGAAAAUCUUGUGGAGUGCUAGUUAUAUAUUUCUUGUUCACAGGGAGUGGGUUGUGUACAAAAAGGUCCAGUGUUCGUGAUUUUCUAGAAGUGGCGUGCACUUUCUUUUAUUGCAUUUGGAGUAGAGCAUACGUAGGGGGAUGAAAUGAAGGUUUCUGGAUUUCAGUUUAGUGGUUUAGAUAGAGCUCUCUCAGUUAUCAGAAUGCCUAUGUUCCAUGUUCUUUUACCCUCGUUUCCUGUAAUAAUAACUUUAAAAUGUGCUGGUGAUGUAUUACGGUUUAAAAGCAAGAAUUGUGUACAUGUUUGGAUGCUCAUUGGUGAUCUUGAUUUGUGUGGAUGCAGACCUGAAGCCUCACAUGUCAAAUUCAGCCCCUUCAGCGAUACCUAUUUCCUAUGGUUUCCAAGGGUCAAGCAAGAAAAUUGAAAUUCCAAAUGGGAGAGUAGGCGUAAUUAUUGGUAAAGGUGGUGAGACGAUCAAGUACCUUCAGCUCCAGUCUGGGGCAAAAAUACAAGUUACUCGUGACAUGGACGCAGAUCCCAACUCUACUACUCGGAUGGUUGAGCUAAUGGGCACCCCUGAUCAAAUUGCCAAGGCUGAGCAGCUGAUAAAUGAUGUUCUUUCUGAGGUUGGUCUUUUCUUAAUUUUGGAAUUUCAUGGUGUGCCUUUGGGAGCGGCAUCAAUAUAAGUUUGUGGUUUCCUGUUAUAACGUUGACAUGCCAUGUAGCAAUACAUUGGUUUGGAUGGAUAAUGGAUUGACUACAGCCUUACCAAGUUUACAACUUUGAACUUUAUUUAUGGGCAAUAUGUUAUUCAUACGUCCGAUGCAAAAUAUGAUUGUAGUUGAAGAUAAGACUUUUUACUUGGCUUGAAAAUGUGUUUGUCUCAUAAAAUUUAUCAUUUGAAACAGGCUGAAUCUGGCGGUUCUGGCAUAGUAUCACGAAGACUAACAGGCCCUUCAGGAUCUGAGCAGUUUGUUAUGAAAAUUCCUAAUAAUAAGGUUCUCAGAAACAUUUGUUUUGGAAUUACCAAGUAUUGCUUGUCUAUCUUGGGAAUGUAAUUCUGUUCACUUUUUGUACUUCUGAUCGUGAAAAUAUUAAUUUUUCUAGGUUGGCUUGGUUAUUGGUAAAGGUGGUGAAACAAUCAAAAGUAUGCAAGCUAGGACUGGAGCACGUAUCCAGGUCUGUUCUAUCUUUAUGUGUAUAUAUGUAUAUAUUACAUACGUCUUUUAGAAGGCUUCCCAAAGCUAACUUCCGUUCCUUUUUAUUUCAAUAGUGCAACUAAUUUUCACUUUCUUUGGUCAUGUAACAUAGAACAUUGUUUUGAAUUUUGAUUGUAUGGCAAUAUCUACUCUUCUUUUCUGUAGGUGAUACCAUUGCACUUACCCCCUGGGGACACAUCUACAGAAAGAACCUUACAGAUUGAUGGUUCAAGUGAACAGAUUGAGUCAGCAAAACAGUUGGUUAAUGAAGUUAUCAGCGAGGUGCGUUUGCAGAUCUGGGUUACAUAUUUAUUUUGCCUUGUUGUAGUUGGAAUUAAUACCUGGUUAACACCUACUUCCAUUUAUUUUUGUGUUUAUAAUGAUUUUUCCUGCUUGUCUUUGGUUAUUUUUUAUACAACUGUUGAUGCAACUGUUCCAUCUUAUUCUGAAACUCCUUUAGUUCUAUUCUCACAAAAAAAAACUCCAGUUUUAUUAAUUUUAGGGUUCUACCUCAACGCCAAGGUCAGCAUUAAACCAGUGGUGUUGAUUGGACGUUGGCAUAUUUGCUUUCCUUACCUUGUAGUUUACAUUAUGCUGUGAUAUGGGAGGCAUCUGGUAUUCAUUGGCUUAAAUUAUACCUCCAGUUUUAUUUAGAAAAUGAUAUCUGCUUCUUGUUCUUGUUCUUUUUUUUUUUUGGUAUUAUGUUUCUCUUUCAAAUUAUGUUUUCUUACACAGGCUUGUUACCUUGUUUUAUUUGUUAUAAUUUUGUAAAAUCAUUCUACAACAUUAUGCUGCUUUUUAUUUCUGGGAGGAAAUAGUUGAGAAAAAAUUCCCGUUUUUAUGUGGUUCUGUCGGACAACUGACUCAACAAGAAAUUGAUUUAUUUUUUUCCUUCACUAAUGGUACUUCUUGGCUCUUCUUAAUUUUACUCUACUAGUGUAAUGGAUCUUCUACAAUUUCUGGCUUAAACACUAUACAAUAUGCUCAGCAUAUGGUGUUCUUGUUCCUUUAACGAACUAUUAAUCUGCUGCUGUGUCUGCAAAUCUGCAAAAUCAUUUAUUGCUAAUGCUAAUGCACUCAUGCUCUGCUAAUAUGCAUUAGCAUUUUGACUACAGUAGGAAGGCUUGUUCUCUCACUGUGCUCAUACUUUCGUCUUUGAGGGGGGCUCCCUUCGUAGGUCUAUGGAAUCAAAUGCUGCUUUGUGGUUUCACUCAAGGAAUUAGAAACAUUGGAAUAUUUCAGCCUGUUAUACUUUUAGAUCUCUUAUAGAUUGAGACAGCUUUUAGGUCUUUUACCCCUAAUCGAUCUGGAUUUGUUAUUAUAUCUGCAAUUGUUUAUUCUAUAUAUCCACUAAUGCAGAGAUGGAGGACAUAAGGUUCUGGGAUUGGAAAGAGGUGAAAUUAUUUUACAGAUUACUGCUUGGUAAUUUUUUGAAGAGUGAUUAUUGUAUCAGAAAGGUUCCCAUUGGUGAUUUGCUGGCUCCUUUGGAUAUUUCAGUUUAUCAGUCAAAUAUUACUCUUAUUAGGUUGUUUAGGUUAUAUGAUAUCUCUCCUAUUUAAGAUGUUAUCAGCCCAUUUGGUAUUAUUCUUGGUUUUAUAUCUAAGUGUUAUAUUAUUGGGAUUAUGGCCUGUUCAACCGUCACAUGUGCUUAUUAAUUAUGUAUCCUGCAACUGAUAUUGUUAUUGGGAACUAUUGUAGGGUUAGGGUUAUUGGACCAUUAGUGACACCAACAUGGAAUCCUUUAUGUUGGUGUUCUCUCAACGUUGCUCUGGUAUGGUUCUGAAUCCCAUAUUAUAAUGAUAUAAAGUGAUGAUGUGGAGAGAAGUUGCAGGUUUAUCUGUUGGAUAUUCAAGGUCUUUAGUAAAAUUUGAAAAGUCACCUUACCAUUCUAUCAUUCUUUUUCUGGUGGUUUACUUUGAUUUGGGAGAGUUUCAUCUUUUAGUCUAUAAAUUAUUCAUUUCUUAAUUGUCUAUUUACUGUGCGUACCAUUUGUGAAAUUAUUUUAGUUUAAUAUAGGCAUGCGGGUUAAUUUGUUGGAUAACUGUACUAUGAUGUAUUUUUGGUACUAUCAUAUUUUAGUGGCAACAUCACCUGAUCGUUCAGUGAGUCCGCCUUUGAUGGAUAUUCCAGAAAGUCCUUUAGACUCCUGUUUUGGUUUAAUUAGUUAUUAUUAUAUGUUUUCCACCAAAAAGAUGAAUUCUCUAAUUAUUAAUUUUUUUACUUAAAUUGACCUUAACAUUGUUCUUGUAAUUGAAGAAUAUUUUCUUGUUUCAAUCUUUAUGGGCUAUCUUUAGUUACUUUGGAGAUUAUGGAUCGUUUCUUACAAAGGUCUGUAUAUGUCAGUGUCUUCUUUUUCAUCGUCCAAAUUGCUUUUCAGCUUUUUUGGAAGUAUUUUUCUUUACAAUAAUUUGCAAUCAAAAUUCUUUUGACUAUAAAAUAUUUUUCACUUCAUAUUCUAUUGGUGUCUGAAGAUAGUGUAUGGGGUUGUUUAGUUUUAGCUUGAUAUCCAACUAAUUGAUUAUUCUAUAGAAGAUUUAAUAAUUGGGGAAGACAUUGCUUUUGUUGUGCUUUGCUAUGAACUUCUUUGCCUUUUGGGGCAAUUAAGUUCAUAUAUUCUGUUCUGUAAAAGCUUUUGUAGUCGUCUGGUUCUCUUUGCACCCAUUCACUUCGAAUAGGGAGAGGUUGAGCUUCUGCUGGAGUAACUCAAUAACUCAUCAUCCAGUACGGUAUGUUGGUGUUUUAUACUCUUCCUAAUGCAGUAUAAGCUCCUUUAAUCCCUCUACAAAACAUACUGACUAUGGUUUUCUUUUUGCAUAUCCUUGAUUUCAGAUUUGGCAUUUUCUUUCCAUUUCGCAUAAUGCAUAUGAAUGUUGUGCUUUCCUCUUCUUACCAUCCCCUACGUUGGUUUCUUACGUUAAUUGAGAAGGAUUCACCUUUGUUUUCAUUUUUAUGUUUAAUCUCUCAGAAUCGCGCGAGAAAUUCAGGUAUGUCAGGCGGGUAUAAUCAGCAAGGUUAUCAAGCUCGACCCCCUUCAAGUUGGGGUCCUCCUGGGGCUCCACCAAUGCAGCAGCCUAAUUAUGGCUAUGGACAACAAGGCGGAUAUUCUGCUCCUUCGUCUCAGUAUAACAUAUCACAACCUCCUUAUCAGGGUUAUUCCCAACCAGCAUCUGGUGGAUAUGCUUCCAAUUGGGACCAGUCUACUGUUCCGCCAAAUCAACCUGCUACUCAAGGAAGUGGUUAUGAUUACUACGGUCAACAGGCUCCACAGCAACAACAGACAGCUGGAGGCCCUGGUGCUACCGGAGACAACAGUGGUUAUAGUUAUGGUCAACCACCAGCCACUACUUAUAAUCAACAGGGUUAUUCUCAAGAUGGCUAUGGUGGUAAUUACCAUGCACCUCAGUCUGGUUAUGGCCAACCGCCAACAUAUGAUCAACAGGGUUAUAGUUCUACCACAAACUAUGGUAAUGUGGCUAACGCCACUCAAGAUGGGCUCAAUUCGUAUGGCUCUCAAGGGGACUCAUCACAGACGGUCCCUCCUGCUGCACCACAGCCCUCUUCAGUGAGUCAGCAAGGUUAUAGUGCAAAUCAACAGCCUAGCCCUAACCCAGGGAGUUACCCUCCACCAAGUCAGUCGGGGUAUGGAAUGACUGCACCUUCCCAAACUGGCUAUGGAAAUCAACCUGCUGCUCAGGCUGCUUAUGGGGCUGCUUAUGGAGCUCCUCAGACUCAGAAACAACCUCCUACUAAUCCUCCAGCCUAUGGUCAAAGCACUCAGUCACCAAGCACCGCUAGUGGCUAUGGGCAACCUGCUGGAUUGCCAUCUGGAUACUCAAGUACGCAGCCACCCGCAUCCGGGUACACUCAACCAGAUUCUGCUUCUCAACGUGCUCCACCAUCCAGUUACGGCACUGCUGCAGCUCAGCCAGGGUUUGCGCCACCUCCAUAUGGUGGUGCUCCUCCAACAAAUCAGUCAGCUUACGGGCAAGCUCCACCACCUUAUGGUGGCUCUUAUGGUGCUGGUUACCCUCAGCCCCAUUAUUCAUCUGAAGGUAAUGCAGGUGGUGCUACUCGUGGGGGCUAUGAUUCUGCAUCAGCUGCUCAGGCAGCGACCCAAAGUGGGGUUGCAAAAGCAUCACCAAAAAGUUGAUAAUAUUGUAUGUGUUUGCUUAGGUGUGUAUGUUGCGGAGAACGUAGCUUUGUUUUUGUGGUUUUUAUUAGACAGGUAGUUUUAUGAGACCUCAUUAAUGCCCGAAUUCUUUACUGUACUUUGUUUUGCUAUGGUUAAAAACGGUUCUGGAGUUUUGUCUCUCUUGAACAAAACACUCUUUCUCUACAGGCGGUGGCGUCUCCUUGAUGAUUUUGAUUUUUGAUUGUGGCGUUGGGGAUUAAGACUGUUUAGGAUUAUUGUAACUUUAAGCUACGGAAAUGGUAAAAUAGCAUUUAUUAAAUAAAAUGUUAGAUAUGAAAAAUUCUUAUUUCAAAUGUUUAUAUGAACUUAUAGCAAAAUAAUACAAAUACAUCUUUUAACAGAUCUACUUAUUCAAAAAAUUAUUAUAAUACUUUUUUCUAUUAAAAUUUAUGCGUUGUAAAAUAUUGAUGUGUGAUAUAUUGUUAUAGUAAAGCUGAAUCCUUUACUUCCAUGUGUGAUACAUUGUUAUAGUGAAUAUAAAUACAGAAGUACACUUGGAAAAACGGAAAAAUGUGUAUGGCAGGUGAACUUCUAUUUCUUUUCUCAGGUAAAUAUAAGUCUAACCCAAAAAAAUUCGGAUCUCUCCCCGCUGUAUCCUAGAUUCUUGUAUAGUUUAAAAGAAAUUAUUCCUAAAAGCCAUGAAUGCUUUGGGUGAAAGUAACAAGAUGAACGCAAGGACCGAACCAAAUAACAAUUUGAUAGCAUAUAGGAAGGGAUCGUGGUCAUCUGCAUCUGUUGAACUUGUGUGGGGUGCCAAUGCCGUUGCGGAUGGAAGGGCUUCAAUUACUGCAUCAGCCAAAUCUGAAAUGAAUGAAGAAUUGCAAUUGAGGGCAGGCACACGGCCCCAGUUUUGGAUUCCAGAUUCAAGUGCCAAGUGCUUAUACUCCAUAUCUAUCUCCUCGAGAGUCUCAAUGUGCUCACUCACAAAGCUGGGAAGAGACAAGUAAAACUAUUAUAAACAAAACGCCACCAGUGCAUAAGAAUAUCCAACUUCACUUAACACGCUUCACCUUCUCCAAGUCUUUCAAAACAAGUAAAACAAAUUGUAAACACGAUCAAACAGCAUACUGCUUAUAACCAGUUGAUUGUUUUAAAGCAAAAAACAGUUGCCUUUUUUAAUUUUGAAGAAAAACCACGUAAACAGCCAAUCUUUUGUGAUGAAGUUCAAAGUUGAGGAACGACCAAGAAAGCCCAAAAUUAUUCAAAGCACUUUGGGCCUAAGGUUCUCCAUCAUUAACACUAGCACAAGGAGUUCGAAAUAUAUAAUUGUCACGUGAAUUAACUUCAUUAAUAUUCACUCUAAGAUCAUAUGAGAACCAAGAUGAGAAGGAUCCCCUGGAAUUAUGAAGCUACAAGGAACCAAAAACCAAACAAUCAAAUUAACAGUUCGUCCUUUUAUGGUUUAUGAACAAGCCAUACCUCACGGGAACGGCUAGGAGACUCUUAAUACCCUUCUGGCCAAGCUCAACAAGAACUUCAUCUGUGUAUGGCUUAAGCCAUUGUACAGGUCCAACACGGCUCUGAAAAAUGUAAUACAUAACAAGAAUAAAAAACCACACGGAUGUAGUUAGGAAAACAAUGAAAUAAAAUGAUAGAAAAUCUGAAUAGUUGUUGGGGCUCAAAAUGUUAAAGAAAAAGAUAGGAAACCAUGCCAAGCUUCAAAUUUAUUACUAACCUGGUAUGCAAGAGUAUGCUCAUUCCCAAUUCCUCUGGCUUUCAGCUCUUGCAUGAUUAGGCAGAUGCACUCUUCCAUUUGAUCUUUGUAUGGAUCUCCAGCAUUCUCAACAUAACUGACGGGAACCCCAUGUGCACUAAAGAAAAUCAUGACCUAAGGUGCAAAUAAGUGAUGCUAUAUUAAGAACUAAUUGACUUGGACAUCCAUUGCUGCAUAAAAAUAAAGCAUCUCUCUAAAAUAAGUUUCAGCAAAAAUUAAGUACCUCUUGAGGAUUGGCAAAAUUCUUCAGCUCUGCCUGCAUCAAGUCAGCCAUUGACUUAAUAUACCCUUCCCGCUGGUACCAGGACUUUAUAAUUGAAACAGGCAACGAUGAGAGAUAUGCAUCUUCCCUGAUAGACAACUCAUAGUCAAUAAGUUAAGUUGGUAGCAGUAAUUUUUUUAAUAAUAACAAUAAAAUCAAAAUAUUAUAAUACUAGACACGAUCAUCACCUGAACAUCUUCUGGAGAACACGAAUACUAGACCCAGUUGUAGAAAUAGAGUACUGUGGAUACAAUGGCAGCACCACAAGUCUUGUUAUCCCAUCCCUCUUAAUCUGCCACACACAGCAAAAGGAACUACCAAUUUUAAACUUCAUUUCAAACAAUGCUUCAAACAAAAACGUGAGGUUACAGGCAUAUUAGGAAAUCCCGUGGUUGGUAGUAAUAUAAAAUUCUUCCCUCCAUUCGAAUUACAAGGCAAGGGGAAUAGAUAAAACAUAGAGCGUACUUGCUGAAUUGCUUCCUCUGUGAAAGGGUACCAAUAGCGCAUUCCCACAUAGACAUUAGUAGACAUGUUUUUCUCCUCCAAAGCCAUUUUAAGCGCUUGUGCCUGCAACAAGUAUUCACAAAUUAUCAAUAUUGAACAUUUGUUUUAUACCCAACUGGGAUAUGCCAUGAUGAACAAUUUGAAGGAAAUAAGAGAGGUCAAUCAACCUGUUCAUCUGUGAUUUUACGCAAAGGUGAGCCACCUCCUAUUGAAGCAUACCCUUCUUUGCUUUUGGGAGCACGGUAUGUAGAUAUUAAUUUUGCCAAUGGCUCUUGGAGGAAACGGAACAACCUUGGGAGUCGGAUAAUAUCCUAUGCAUCAUGAAAAGAAGUAAGAAAAAAGAGCUAUUGGCAUGUUAAUUUGUUGUUAAGACUAGUUGCAUUAAUUAACUAAGAUACCGGAUCUGCAAAUAGAUUGUACAGAAAUGGUUGGACAUCAUCAAGCGUUUCCGGCCCUCCAAGAUUCAAGAGCAGAACUCCCACCUUGUCAUCCACUGCCUGAGAUUGAGAUUCUAAAGCAAAUUCACCAACGGUGAAAGUUCCUACUGAGCAACAUGCUUGCCCCAGACGGCUUUUCUUCUCAAUGGGGCCAGAAAGAUGUAACCCCUGAAUUACAUCUCUGUCACCAUUGGAGCUAGAACAAGAAACCACUAAUCCUGUAGACCUAUCACGAACUUGCAGAUUUCCAGACGUUUUGCAAGAGAAAGUCACGCGAGAUUUCGGCAAAGAGCAUAACCUGAAAACAGGAAAAUAUACAUUGAAUUCCUAACUUCGACAAUAUAACACCUAAACCCCCCCUUAAAAUAUCAGUCACUGCCAUGACAUCCUCCAUACAAUAAAAUAACUAAGAAACUUCCUUCACAUCAACUCCAGCUACUAGAAUCCACGAUCACAUAACUUCACAUUGAUCGAACUAAAAGGACUGAUUCCAAGUAUACGACACGGGGUAACUUCAUCCAAUAAUCAACAUAGAGUUCAAAUGGGGGCGAAAUUUUAAAAGGGUACAAACGAUAUAAACCAAAAUCCAGAUUCCAAAGCAAGAAGAAAAGGUCGGUUAAGAAUUAACCGAUAAGGAACAUGAAGAAGAAGUGAUAUAAAAGAGAACUUACGAUGAAAUUCUUUGAUCCGAAUUGAGGGUAUUGGUGGAACCGUGAAGCUUGAUAUUGGAGAGGGCGAGAGAGGAAGAGGCGGCGUCCAUGGAGUCGAAAAUUGGAAGAACAACGAUCUAAAUCCAAAACCCGAGAAGAAAUUGAGUACAGAUAUGAGUGAGGAAGAAUGGGAUUGGUCGAUUAUAAAAAUUGGAGAAAUGGGAAACGUGGAAUCGGAAGGAGGAAGAACGGUAGAGAAGUCAAAGUUGGGGGAGGGAAGGAUCCGGGAAAUGGAAGCGCCAACCACUCUCCCAAGUCUCACCAUUAUAUAUUCAAAGUUUGUUUCGUGUUGAAGACUCAACGCAUCUACGUGUGGGCCGUACUCCUAACUUUCUUUAAUUUCUAAUUUUCAUCCAUAUAAUUAUAUAUAAAAAAAGUUAAAAUUUAAUUUCCAUAUUUAAAAGUUAGGAUUAAAAUAGAACAUAUUUAGUCAAAUUAAUAACUCGAGUUCCUCUUAAAUAUGUUCUUCGAUAUUUUUACAAAUCUCAUCUAAGUUCGAUGGUACUUAACUUAUUAAGUAGGAGUAAAAAUUGCUUAUUAAUGCUACAUAUCGCUACUAAAAAUUUAUCGAUAUCUAAAGUAACUAAUAAUUUUUGUUGAUUUGCAAUUUUUAAAAAUAUUGCUCAGCCCUACUUACCUAAAUUUUAAUUUUCUAAAAAAGAAUUAUUCGAUUUUUUUGGUAUUUACACGUGUAUUAUGUAGGUAGUGCAAAAACUUCAACAAAAUUGGUCUAAAUUUGUAUCAAAGAAAUUUAGGCAUUUUUGGUACUCACUACAUAAUACAUUUGUUCUGAGUGGUUGUUUGAUCCUUAUCUAAAUUACGAAAAAAAUAAAAAGAAUAAAUUGAAAUAAUAAAUAAGUUUCCUAAAAUUAACUAAAUUCCUUCUUUUCACCUUUGUAAAAGGUCAAACGUGGAAUGAAAUAUUAUUCAUUAUGAUCCAAAGAAAGAAGUAAAGGUGUCUAGUGAUAUCUUAUAACAUAGAUCACCAUUGAUAGCAAUUGUUUAUAAGAAGAGUCCAACAUCAUUCUUUCCAAAGAAAAUUCUCAUCCUAUGUUGAAAAUAGAUUAUCGUUCUAGAUAUGAAAAAUGAUCUGUCAACAAAGGUAAUCCAUAUUCUAUAUGAAAUUUUAUUUUGUCUUUUACCAGAUGGGUUAAAAGAUUUUUUUUUCUUCAAUAAAUACACAAGCAACCAUUAGAAUUCACAUCAUUUUACCAAGUUGAUUAAAUCUACACUUCAAUCCUUCUAAAUUUUCAUGGGAUGGAAAUUAAACGAGGGGCGGAGGCGAGGGAAUCAUCCCAUCUUGGUCAAAUUCCAAAUAUACCAAACCUAAAAAUGACCAAACUUCAACUUCAUUUGGGAAAAAAGGGGGAAAACAUAUUAUUUCCAAAUAUAGAGAAAACAAAAAUGGCUGAUGAUACUAGAAAUCAUUGAUUAUAGUGUAAAUUUGAUUGGUUGGAGCAUUAAGCAGAUGUGAAACUUGUCUCAACAGUCCGAACACUACUUGGUCAAAUUCCAAAUUUCCAAUCAACAUCAAAGUCCCAUUCUUUCCAAGAAACUAAUGAGAUUCUCCACUUACUAGACAAAAAGAAGGGUAGGAAGGAAAUGCAUGUAAAUGUAACUCAAAAUAGUUAAAAGUGUUAGGAUCCAGUAGAGAUUAUACAGACGAAAUAUUUUAGAGAAAGAAGGAUACUGAGUAUAUCUUCAUUCGACAUUUGAAAAUCCGGCACCACCUUCCGCUCGAGUCCUGUCCAUGGGCACAAGCUUAGUCAUUUAGGGGACUGAUAGGGUACAAAAGAAAGAUGAGAACAAAGAUAAUAAAGAGCAAGAAAGUCAAAGUGAGCUAGCUCGAUGGUAAGUGAAGUGUGCUAGCUCGAUAGUAAUUGAAAUAUACUCAUUUCUCUUUAGGUUAGAGGUUCGAAUUUUCACAACCCCAUAUUUUAUACUAAUGAGCAUACGGAACUUUCAUCGACUUUUUGAAAAAGAUAAACACCGGAACAAGCAAUGGAUAAGAAACUGUUAAUAGCUCAAUCAAGGGGCAUCCUCAAAUAAGUUGAGUAGACGGAUGUGAUCAAAACACAAGGACAAUAAUUUGAAAGAAAAUAAUUAUAAACAAAAAAGAUGGAUAAGGAGAAUGUAUAGCUAUAACGUAUGCAGUGUCUUCUACCGUGGAGAUUGAACUGAGUGAAAGACACUUCAGAUUAAUGCCUUCUUGGAGCCAAAGAACAAGUAAAAUAUUAUCAAUACCAUCCAUCAAUGGAAAUAGCACUUACUUGUGGUCAGAAGGAUUUGGUGUGAUUUCGUAGACAAUUGUUGCAACAACAUCUCUCUUUAGCUGUUGAUUAAAAUGAAGAUAUUUAGUUAUUUAAAUCAACAAAAUCAUCAACUGAUUCUUGCCCACAACUUUACCUGCGUGGCUUCACCUUUCAACCCAAUGUAGUGUAUCUGAGUCGUGUCACCACCAUAAUUAUCAGGAAAAUGCAAAGUGAUGUUUCCCACACCUUGAAAUUUGGAAUAUCUGAUUAUGUAUAUAAAUUAGCUGUCAAAAAAUAGUUGUAAUCUAACAUUGAAAGAAUUCACAGGCUCGAUAAUUAUAAGGGGAAAGAAAAUGCUCAAUUUUUUUGCUAUCAAUUCAAACAUUUUCAGAUGAUCUGAAAGAUAUGUUCCUCUAUAAAACAUCCUUACCUUGUUUGGUACUCUAAUACUCCUUGCAAAUUCUCAGCCAAAUCCCACUCCUAGAAUAAUAAAAAAUGCGUUACAGUUACAACAUAUGGUUAGGCGUCAAAAUUUCUCCAUGAAUCUCCGCCAGACAUGCUAACAGGUAGUACCUGAACAGCUUGCAUACUUUGAGCAUCUGAGAAGUCAAUACCUUCUCGAUUGAUAAACCUGAUUAUGAAGGAUAACUUGCGUAUAAGAACUAACGCAGGGAGAGAACUAGAAGGGAUAAAACUUAAUAUUCACAUAGAAAACCAAGUGUGUGAAAGUUCCAGAACAUCGAACUUACACCCUCAUCUUUGAAGGACUAGUACCAUCUGGACCACCAAUGAUAGAUAUGCUUUUGAUCUUAACAUCUGAUGUAAAUCUAAUCAUAAAAAAAGUGGUAAUGAAUUUUUAAGAAACAGGGAGAGUGCCAGAACACAAAAAGCGCACACCACAUAUAAGCAAUGUAGCCAUCGCUGCAAAACAAAGAUACAGGCACAGAAAUCUUCAUGACAUAAUAUAAAUUUUAUUAUCAGAUAACUAAAAUUGUUCUUGUGAUAUCUGCUUUCGAAGUUUCAGACCAGCCGACAAACACAUAGAUUCUUAGACAAACAGUUUUCUCUUGGUAGGAACACGAAAUUGCGUUUAGGAAGGGUAUGAAUUUACUAGGUGAAAUGGCUGAGCACCUAUGGGAAUUAUUUAGGAAGGCUAGAAGAAUAAAAAAAAAGGGGGGAAGUCGUGAUAAUUUAUGUCUUCACAAAAUUAUUUAUUUCCAUAUUCGCCCUGAGAUAUAUAAAAGGGAUGGUUGAGAAACUAUAAAUUUUAUUACAUUAAAAUGUAAAUUACGAAUAACCAUUACAAUAACUGUACUUAUUAACGAGUACAUAUCAAUGUUAUUAAGGUAUCAGGUAUAGUUAGAAUCCAAAAGUACAGGAACACCUACGGGAUGAAAACUAGCAGUUCAGGAUCACCCUCGUUGCUUUCCAAGUGAUCCUGUUGUAUAAAAACGAAAUAUAUGAGGCUACUUUAUCCUAGCAAUCGGGUACAUGGCACUGAUACACGCAGAUAUAAAGGUAAGGUACCCCAGAUGAGUUUAACCGAUGCUCCCAAGCUUUAAAUACUGACUUCACACUUCCUGGAGUUGCCUCAUUCAAAGCUGAAACCUAAAAAAAUAGCAGAACCUGUGAUCAUAAAUAAAAUUUCCACCAGUUCCUUUGAGGGAAAAAAAAUUAUAAUACGUGUGGGUUCGACAUGCAAUCUACAAUAAGAGUUCAAGGCUCUUCCAUAAAAGUUACUCAUAAGAUUCAAUUGAUUCCGUCCACAAUUAUCAACUUGCAUGAAACAUGCUAUUGACGGAAGGGGCAAUUGUCAUCCUUGUGUGAUUUUAAGAGUAAUGCAUUCAAAGAAUUUCUCCAAUCUUAAAGAUGAAAAAACUCAACAUCAUUAAUACUUCCACAUAUUCACUCAUAAUCUAACCUCUCCGAUUUCUUCUAGCCUUAAAAUAAACAGGAAGAUUUAUCAGUUUCAUCAAUACUUCGCCCACAGUAUUCAUUCCAACGUCAGCAGACAAUUACUUGUGCCUUAAAAGUUAUGGGGAAAAAUCCGUCAGCAUUGCUAACAUCUACUCAUAAUUGUUCCAGUUAUUGAACAACUCCAAUAAGCUUGCAAGACAAGAUGGCAAUGGAAAAUAAUAUAUUUCUAACAAAGUUAUCAAAUCCCCUUAAUAGUAACCAUUGAUGUUCUUGCUAUGCGUGCUAUGUUUAUCUCUCGUAUAACUCAAAUAUGAAUAAAAUAGUGGAAAUAUUAGCACAAUCCUCUUCCAAUUUCUUCCCAAAUGGCUAGGCUGUAAACCCAACUUGGAAAAAGGUAAUGUAAUUAAGAUGUAACAAAAAACAACAAAAGAAGAGAACCAGAGAUGGAAACAAGAGAACAAUAUUGCACGGACGAUCAGCUACAGUUGAGUUUUGUGUUCAUUUGAAGUGAAAACUAAAAAAAUUAACCACUAAUGCACUAGCUUCUAUCACUAACCAUGAAAUUCUCCAACAUCAUUCCCACUAAGCCAUUAGGCCAGUUCCCUCCAAUUUAGGAGGCACUACCUAAAUUAAACCCAUCAACAUAAAUUAAAACUAAUUACAAAUUAAGUUGCACUAAUUCUUAACCUAAGAAAAACCCAAUUUGCAUGUGAGGAACCAUAACCAACGGCAGGAACAAAGAUUCAGCUCAUUCAUGAGAUCAUGGGCAAUUGCAAUUCACAUAAUAUUUUCCAAGCAGUGUAAUUGGGAAGGAAACUAAAAAAUUAUCAUUCAGCUAAUGGGUAUGGAGAUAAUUAAAAUCCAAAGCCUGGACAAUCAAAUUUCAUAUUGAACGAUGGAAAAUGAUUAUACGAAUAUGUUUGAAGUGAUACGAAGUCGUAAAACGGAUUGUCAAAGAAGAAAAUUCGUGUGCUAGAGGUAGAUACAGAUAUGCACUAACUCUGGGGAGGUCUAUGUGCUUGUAAAGAGACCAAUCAGAAGAACAAUCGUGAUCUUCGCAGCUGUGAUCGUGUAAGCAAGCCAUCUUUGAGGUUCCAGAACAAUAGGCAGAACGAAGAGAGAUUUCAGAGGUAAAAGAGAAAGUGCGAGAUGCUCAAAACGGCGCCGCUUCUGUACGUGAAGGAUUGUUUUCGCUUUGAUAUAAAGCCAUUACAAGAAAACAUCAAUUACAUUUUGUUUGUUUUUUAAUAGCCGUGACUAAAAUAAAUCAAGAGAUUAUAAUAAAUGAAAUUAUCAAGAUCAAGAUGAUAUUUUCUAAUGGAACAAAAAAAGAAAGAAAAAACGAAAAGUUGUAUCCUUAAUUAUACUAAAAAGGAAUAAUAAUAAUCCAUCAACACGUUAUUUGGUAGCCUUCAACAUAAUUAGUGUUUGCAUUCAAAAUGUGGAAUAGAAAUAGGAUCAUGAAACGUCGAAACAAUGAAAAAUUAGAGUUGAGGAUCAUGAAACGUCGAAACGAUGAAAAAUUAGAGUUGAGUUGAGAACCGUGGAAAUGAAAUCAGUUUUAGUAUUACAAAUUCAAUCCAAAACCAAAACAUCCAAUCCAAACUCAUUCCACGACGAGUCUCCAAACCACUGUAAUCGUAUAGGAUGUGUGUUAAAGGAACAAAUUUAGGGUUACUUUGUUUAUAUAUUUUUUUGAAAAAAAAUACUAUUUACAAAUAGAUUAUUACAAAGAUCAACUUGGAUGAGCACCUUCAAUGAACAACUUUGAGAAUUAUUUUAGUAACCAACUUCAAAAAACGACAUACGAUGCCGAAUUUUGACAAUGACCUUUUAUGAUAAUCAAUUUUGAUGGUUACUUCAUGCCACUAACCCUAGUGAAAAGUAUUUUUAUACUCUCCAAUACAAACAAUUACAAUUCAUACUAUUUUAAUUAAUCUACACUCUAAAUAUACAUUUCAUAACAUAGAUUCUAUUUCACAUAUUACAAUAACCAACUCGAAGUCACAAAGAAUCUCGUCUACAAAUCAAUCUCGAGUAGAUAUGAUUUUCCUUUUCUUCUCCGUCGUGUGAACACUAUGUGCCCCAAACAACCCUACUAUGUUGGAUUUCUUAAUUAACAAGGGAACUCAUUUUUGUCCCAUGUGUUCAAUGACGGACGUUAAAUGUACUUUUCAUUUAAACUAAGCAAAGGGAGAGAGAGGAAAAAAAGUUAAGGCUUCACCAAAAAAAUUUAAUUAUUGUUUAGAUGAUUUGAUCAUCAACUUAAUUGACUAAUAAUUUGUAACAAAUAUAUUGCUUAUUUAAAGCUUGAUUUCAAAAUUACUCAAUAAACAAACAGUACAAUCAAUCACAAAAAUUCAACCCUAAAAUGCAUCAAUCGUACAAAGUUUAGUAAUAAACAUUAAUUGAUAGAAAGUAUUCUAUUAUGAUAGUUUUGAGGCACAUAUUUUAGGUUGGAAGAAGCACAAUUCAUAGAUAUAUAAUAACUUUAAAUUGGUCCAUACAAUAUUUUAAUUAAGUGAUAUUGUUUUAGUUAAAUUAAAUUUCAAUCCGUGUAUGAAUUUACUUGAUCUCGAACUUAAAAAAUCUUUUUUGAAAUGUUUACUUGACAUUUCAAUUUGUAUUCAACAAUCUUUAGUUAAUUUAAUUGAUGUUUUUAAACGUUAGAGACUUAUAAUACACAAUAUUAAAAAUUUAUUAGACACAAGUUUUAAUUUUAUAUCUUAAUUGUUCAAUUAACGGUUAAAAGUUACUAUAUGUUAUAAAUUAAUGAACCUAUUAAACACAAAUUUUAAAAUCUUUAUAAAACGGAAUCUCUAUUUCUAAUACAAAAAUAGUUAUGGAUCAUGACAAUAUGUUUGCUACUAAGUAUGCUUAAAAAAUAAUAAGAACAUAUUAACUAACUAGUUAAAAACCAACACUAUUUUUAUAAGUUGUAGGUUGAAAAUUUAAUUCCUACCUUUACUAAAAAAAAUUAGAGUAUUGUUGAGAUGAAAAAAAAAAAAAAAAACCAUAUGCAUAUGGUAAAUUAAAAAGAUAUUUAUUGAUUGAAUUAUGGUAUAUAUCUGAUCUUAUAAGUAAAGUAUAUGAGAAUGGACAUAUUAUAUCAUAAUUUAUCCGUUCUAACUAGAAGACAAUUCAAGUACUUUGGUCAAAGACUCAAAGGUUAAUUAUGAAUGGAUUAUUUAUUAUAUAACUUAUCAUCCACAAAUUAUUUCACUUUUAAUGCAAUAUCCCUUUCUAUGAUAUUUUCUAAAGAAAAAAAGCAAUCACAUUCUCUGCCCUCUUUUAUCUUCUCUUUCUUUCUAAUAAUUAUCUGAUUCGUAUAACUAAAAGUUUAUUUUUCAUUCUAUUUAUAAGUUUUGCGAGUGCACGUUUGAGUUAAUAAAUUAAUCUUGAAAAGCAAUUGACAUGUACGAUUUAGUAUCGACGUCGAACUAAAUUUUACUUUCAAAACAGUGGUUCGAAACGAUACAACAUGAUCAACAAUUAUUUUGUCUACUACUACUAUAUUGUUUCAUUUUACUAGAAUUAUAAAAUAUAGCUAAAGUUAACAUUUAUUAAUUAGUUCUUAAUUUAAAUUUAUUUAUACUUUAUUAUUUAAAUAUACUUGCGUAAGAUUAUAUACCGUCACUGUAGGCAACGUAAUGAAAAACAUUUUGGUUAAUAUUUGAAUAUAGAUCUAUUCAAGAGCUUUCUCUUAAUGUAAGUGAUGAAUUUCUCUUGUUUAACCACGAACAUGAUUUUAACUAUUUUUUUUAAAAGGUCGGUCUUCCGUCUUUAAAUAAAACCAAUUUAAAAAUCACCUCCAUUCUUUAUUUGGAGAGUUUAUGAUUGAUCUCUUCCCAAACCACUGAUUAGGGUAAAUUUUAGAAAUAUAUUUUAAUAUCAUAACAAAUAUUAAUUAAGCCAAUAAUAAAGAUUUGAUUGAUAACAGUUUUACUAAAGUUGAAGAAACUAAAAAAGAAUGAAAAUGAUAUUUUAGUAUUAAAAAGGAUUGAAGAAAAAAGAUGAGAAAUGGACGGAUAAUAAGAUUCCACACCCAACCGCGAAGGAAUCUCGCCUAAUAUUGAUAUUUGCUAUUUAGUGGGUCAUAGCUUUCCCUAUCAACUUCAACUUGCAAUGUAUUAAAGUUGAAAAAAUGACCGCAACUAUUAUCAUUACACGUGUAAGGUCAGGAUUCAUCACCAGGGGCAACUAAGUCUUUUACAAAAACCCGCAAGAAAAUUUCCAAUUUUCUUUUUUAUAUAUAUUAAGUGAAUUUGUAAUCAUCGUUCUAUACCCACCGUGUAGCCCAAGUUUCCCGGCAACUUCAUGGCUCGAAUCCCCACCGGAGUUUUACUCUCUCUUCUAUUCCUUGCCGUAAUCGGUCUACCUGCCGGAGCCCGGGACCUUCCCGGUGAUUUUCUCCGGUUGCCGUCCGAGGCACUGAAAUUUUUUCGCGGAGGAGCUUCCGACGCUAGCGACGAAGACUCCGUGGGGACGAGAUGGGCUGUUUUGAUCGCUGGUUCUAAUGGAUACUGGAAUUACAGGCAUCAGGUUUUUUUUUCUACGAUUGAUAAGUUGCACUGACUUUAAUUCAUUUGAUAAGUUUGUGUUGUGUUAUGAUGUUGACCUUUGUGAUUGAUUGGCGUUUUCGUGUUCGUAUUUCAUACUUUUUACCCAAAAUGUCUGUUGUGCAUUAUAUCUGUUGCUGAUACUUGUCUGAUCCAUUUUCUCACUGCUUUUUAUUUUUAACCUAAACUUUAUCAUCGGUGAUUCUUCUUGGCGUGAGAUCGAUUUUUUUUUUUUUUUCCAGUUAAACUAAGUCUGCAUUCUUUUGAUCUUUACUCUUCGUCGUCUGCUUUUUUGAUCGAUUGACUUUUUUCUGUUUUUCGAUUAAGAAAUUGUAGUAGUUCUGUUCUUAUCCGUUUCAUUUUUUUCAAUACAUAUGUUCUUAGUUUAUUUUAAAAGAAAAAAAAUAAUUAAGCCUUCAAAUUAAUUAAAUAUUUGUUGCUGUUAAUAAUUCUUAAAAAUUGAGCUGAAAUUCUCGAAGAACAUGGUUUUUUCAACGCCCUUCCAUUUGUCGUUGCUACCAUGUGAUCGAUAUAACUUUUCGAUUUUGCUCCAAAAUAACCACGUUACCUGUAGCUACUCUCAAACAAAGUUUCCUUGUUUAUAAUUGUCAUGUUGAACGAGUAACUGAGCGUUUAAGGCCUAACUGCAAAAGUUUAUUUGAAGGCACUUUUGAAAAGUUUUAUUUCUUGUGUUUGUAGUGACUUUUUUUUUAUUUUAACAAGUAACAGUUAUUUUCAGUGCUCUAUUUGGGUUGCAAAAUCUCAACUCCAUACUAGCCAUAGUUUAAAUUUCUUGGUACUAAACUGGAGUAAUCUUUUAUACUUCCUAUGUAUAAUAUAUAUGUAUAUAUAUAUUCAUGAAUAUCUGGGCUAGCUGAGGCACACAUGAGCAUUUGGGUGUCAAGGAAACAGGCAGGAUAUUAAAUUCUACGUAGGUGGUCACCAUGAAUUGAAUCCAUAACCUCUCAACCAUUUUUCAAGGUCAAUAUAACCAUUUAUUAUCUUAAUAAAAAAGAGUUUGUGACUCCUCUAUGGAAAGUAAAAAAGAGCUAUAAACACAACCAGUAAUUAAAGUUACAAAUCAAAGGAGAGAAUGGAGAUAUAAUUAAGAAUUAAUAUAAAUUUGUUGAACAAGCGUAAGUCAACAGAGUCUAGGUGCUACUAUUCUGCUCUCAACCUUGUUUUAUUAUGUGAGUGUCGUAGAUGGUUUAAUUGAUUAAAAAGGCUUAGAGAAUGCUGAACUCAUUUUCCACCAGGCUGAUAUCUGCCAUGCUUAUCAAUUGUUGCGGAAAAAUGGGCUAAAAGAUGAGAACAUCAUAGUCUUCAUGUACGAUGACAUUGCCUUCAAUCCAGAGAACCCAAGACCUGGUGUCAUCAUCAACCAUCCAAAGGGUUCUGAUGUUUAUCAUGGAGUCCCGAAGGUUUUCUUUUUCUCGUUGCCCUAUCGAUUCUAAUUUUACGCCUGAUUCAUCUGAUGGUAGCUACUUAUGCACUCUACGUUUUGGCCAUGGCAGGAUUACACUGGUGAAGAUGUUACCGUGAACAACUUUUUUGCUGCCAUUCUUGGAAACAAAACUGCUCUUACAGGGGGUAGUGGGAAGGUUGUUGACAGUGGCCCUAAUGAUCAUAUUUUCAUAUACUACAGUGAUCAUGGUGGUCCUGGUGUGCUUGGUGAGUGGCUUGUUCUGUGUAGUUCGCAUACUAUUUGAGGUGACCUAUCAUGCUUAUCUGGCACCAUCUCUUUGGAUAUGUUUGUUGCUCGAUGUGCUUGAUUUAUAUCUGUAAACAAUAGCACGAUUAGUUUACAUUUCCAUAUUAUCUUUUAAAGGCAGCCAACCAACCAAAAUUCAAUCUUAAAAAGCGUGCUUUGAUUUGAAACUGAUAGUACAGCCUCAUUUACCUAGGAAACACUUAUUGGUAUCAUUAUUGUAAAAACAUUAAUCGAAGAUAAACUUGUGUUAGAUUUCUCUAACUAGUUUGUUACUUGAUGGAUAAGAAAUUUCUCAUCUCUGAUAUAUCUUGUUCAGGGAUGCCUACCUAUCCUUAUAUGUAUGCUGACGAUCUUAACAAAGUUCUAAAGAAGAAGCAUGCUGCUGGAUCCUACAAAAGUUUGGUAUAUUAUUGUACUGUUCAUUGCUUGAGACUGCAUCUGUCCUUAUAAUGUAACCAUAUAUAAUGAGAGUGGAACUGUUUGUAAUAUUUUAGGUAUUCUAUCUCGAAGCUUGUGAAUCAGGAAGUAUCUUUGAAGGUCUUCUUCCUGAAGGUUUGAACAUUUAUACAACGACUGCAUCAAAUGCUUAUGAAAGCAGUUGGGGUACUUAUUGUCCAGGGGAUUAUCCUAGUCCUCCACCAGAGUAUGAUACUUGCUUGGGUGACUUGUACAGUGUUGCUUGGUUGGAAGACAGGUAAAAAGAUAAUAGUAGGCUUGUUCUAUUGUUUUUAUACUUUGUUAUUUUGUUAUUUUGUUGUUUUUGUUUUUGUUUUUUGCUUGGUGUUUUAAUUUAUCAGUAAAAGAAAAUGAUAUCAAUGCCGAAAUCCAAAAGGUAAUGUUUUUUGAUGUUGUGCAACUUUGAUUUUGGGCAUUUGUUCUGAUUUCCAUGUUCUCAUCGUUAUAUGUACUGCCGCACCAUACUUCUGGUGUCUAGUGUUCUGUCAAGCCGAAGAAUGAGUCUCACAAAAUUAUUAGAUCCAAAAGCAGAUUAUUACCUUUUAAAUAAGGGAUCCAAACGCAAAUGACGUGAGUUAAAAUAAUGAGGAAGUGGUUUAUUUUAUUCAGAACCUCAAGAUUUUUACUUUCGUGCUGUAACAGUGAUAAUCACAAUUUGAAGACAGAAAGUUUACGCCAGCAAUACGAACUGGUAAGAAUACGUGGACCUCCGUUUUAGGAGAAAUCAACUUCCCAAGUUUAAAUUUGGUUCUUAAAAAUGAAAAAUUUUCUACCAGAUUUUUUCAUCCUUUUGUAAUUGUACUAAAUGUACCAAGUCUAAAGGACAUUUUAGUGUGUUUAUCAAAAUGAAAAAAAAUCCCAUUAUGCUCGUUUGAUCUGAUUUGAACUGUUGGUUUCUUCAGGUGAAAAAAAGGACGCUAAGUGGCCAAUAUGCCUAUGGUUCCCAUGUCAUGCAAUACGGUGAUCUAAUGCUCAACAAGAACGCUUUGUUCUCAUAUCUGGGUACUGAUCCUGCUAAUGAGAACAACACUUUUGUCGAGGAAAACUCCUUGAGGCCAGCUACAAAGUUCACCAAUCAGCGUGACGCUGAUCUGGUCCACUUUUGGGAGAAGGUUAGUUUCUUCUUUUUCUAUUUUCAAAUGGAUAAUAUAUGAACCCUGCUUGGUAUACUAGUAUAUAGUAAAUAAGUGAUAUUUUGAGGUUCGCCAAAUUGAUAAUAUUUCCUGUUUUAGAUAGUGAGAACAAAGCAUUCUUGUGCGUUAGAUCCAAUUUUUGAGACUUUUGUGGCAAUUUUUUAAAUACUACACUUGUCACCUCUCUAAUGUAGGGAUUGUAGUAUUUACUUGUUAAUCUUGGGUUUUUUCUUGCUUAAAAUUAAUUUUGGUUUCGACAUCAUUCAAGACCCUCUCACCCCAUCCGUGCUUGUUGAUCUUAGUUUCGCAAAGCUCCAGAAGGCUCCCUGACGAAAGUCGAAGCUCAGAAGAAGUUCGUGGAAGCAAUGUCCCAUAGAGCUCAUAUCGAUAACAGUGUGAAGCUAGUUGGAAAGCUGUUGUUUGGAAUUAAAGAAGGUCCUGAGGUGCUUGAAGCCAUCCGUCCCGCAGGAAGACCCCUUGUUGAUGACUGGAACUGUCUUAGGAAUAUGGUAUAAUUUCAAUAUAAUUGGAUACUGCACAGCCCAUUUCAGUCAACCAGUCAAAUGAUGUUUAGUUAUAUUUUUACUCAGUAUAAAAGUUAGUUAAUUCUGAAAUGAUUCAAUACAAACAGGUUAGGAGCUUUGAGGCACGUUGUGGAUCUCUGUCUCAGUACGGAAUGAAACACAUGAGAUCCUUUGCAAACCUAUGCAAUGCUGGAAUCAGCAAGGAGCAGAUGGCGGAGGCAUCGGCGCAAGCUUGCAUGAGUGUCCCUCCGGGCCCUUGGAGCUCUCUACUCAAGGGCUUCACUGCAUGAUGACGAAACCCAAGUCAGUCAUCGGAUUUGGAAGUACGUUUCUCCCACCAUUGUUUAUAUCACAUCUAUGUUCAAAUGGGUCUGUCGACGACAAGUCAUUUGUAAAUAGAACCACAGGCCAUUGUGUUAGGUGAGAAAAAAGGGGCAUAUAAUUGAAAUGUUGAACUGAAGAAAUACGCAUCUGUUUAUAAGAAGAAGGCUCUGGUUGUGUUGGCAAGAACGAUCAAAAUUCCAAAUGUAUUGAUUGUAUGUAGUAGAAUUAUGGUGUGCUUUUUACAUUGAAUGACAAUAUAUUUUCACAUGAAUACAAAAUUCCAACCUCCAAAAGAAGAAAAGUGAGAAAACAAAAAUGCAUGAUUGAAAUAUUGGUGAGAAAAGGCAUAAGAGGUGGGCUAUACUUAUAGAUGGGAUAUGGGUGAGAAGGGUAGGCUCCACUCCUUUCCUCCUUCACUUGUUUAAACUUUCGUCAAUUUUAAAAGUAGAAUGGGGAGUUUGUGGGUUGUGGUAGUUGAAAAUGGUUAGAUGUUUUGGUAUAGAAUUUAGUGGGGGAAGAGAUAAAUCCACAUAUUGGGAUUAUUGGGAUACUGUUUGUGUGUGUGUGUGUGUGUGUGUGCCCCCAUUCUCCACCUCCCUGGAUCCACAUUCUUCUAUUAUUCCCACUUUUGCACGCUUUGUUUCUUUCCUUUUAUUAUUUUAAUACCAUCUAAUUUCAUGUUCUUUAACUUUAUUGUUUUAAUACCAUCAAUUUAUAUUGUAAAAAAAAAAAAAAAAAGAGUUCCUUUUGCAUCUUAUCUGAAUGUGAAUGUUGGUUUCUAUACUAUAUUUGUAAUUUUUUUAAGAUAUAAUGAAAAUAUGAUUCACUCUUUCAUCAUCUUAAUAUUGAGUUUAGUUAGAUAGAAUAUGUAACAUUUGUCAUCUUAGUAAUUCUUUUAAUCGUGGCUUUAAAUUUACUUUAUUAUUUUCUCGUUGUUUAGUAAAGGGAUGGAAUAUCAAUUAUUGAAACUCGAUUUGGUUGUUUUGUUUAAACCCCAAAUUAUGAAUCAGAAUUGGUUCCAUACAUAAUUCUCAAAAUCUCAUAAUUCUCCAAGAAAAUAAAGAUUUCAAAUGUAGUUUCUGGUCUAUAGAACUUUAAGUUUUUUUACUUUUAGGCUUCAAUAAUUUUUUUGUUUGUUAAAAUAGUAUUCUUUCAAUUUUUUAUUAUAUAUAUAUAUAGUUCCUAGUUGAAAGGAAAAGUUGAUUAAGAGGUAUAUGUGAUGAUUUAAUAAUUUAUUCGAAUGAUUGUGUUUGAAGAAAUUAAACUAGUUGCCAACUAUAUGAAUCAAAUGAUUUUGAAUUCAAAGGUAAUAGUUAGGGAAUUGGAUAUUUUUUUUUUUCUAGUGGAGCAUCUAAUGAUACCUUUUUCAAUAUCAUUAUUACGGAGAUGAAAAUAAAAAAUUGACUCUUGAAUUAGAAUUAUGUCAAUUACUAACAAGCUAAAUUCACCUUUUCAUUAAGAGUCAACGAGACGAAAACUAAUAUGGAUACAUACUUUUGUUUAAAUUCAACGAGUAUGAUUUGAUUAUUUUGUUUCUUUUAAAAUGAGUAUGAUCUUAAUAUUACAAAAUACAAAUGGAUGGACAAAAGUUUCUUAUUAAAAAAUCAACCCCACUACUGAACAAAGGCACCAAAAGAAAAAGAAAAAAAAAAGAAGAAAAUCUUCUUCAUAUGCUCUCUCAUUUGGAAAAACGAAAAGGAACAAAAGUCUUUUUAUCUUUUUCUUUUUUUCCUUCUUAAAAAGUAGAUAAAACUUCAAAUAUGGAAAAGGUAAAUUCACAUAAUGACUAAAAGCAUUUUUAUUUCAUAACCUUUAUUUAUACAUAAAUACGCAUGUGCCUUUAUUGGUAAUCUUUCUUUGUUUUUGUUUUUUAAUUGGUUUUUAAAAACUAAAGUGUAUUUGGUAACUAAUUCACUUUUUAUUUUUAUUUUUUAAAAAAAAACUUUUUUUAAAAUUAUAAAGAAAAAUUGAAAAUGAAAGGACAUCUUUAAAAUAACAACAUUAUCAAAUAUAUAUGGUUUUUAUCUUUAUAAAAAAUUAGAAAAUAGAAAAAUGAAAACAAAAAUAAAAAUUGAAAUGGUUAACUAAACCUGUUCUAGAAGUUUAAAAAUAUAAUGAUAAUUAUAAAUAUGUUUGGAGAUUUUUAAAAGAAGAAGAAGAAAAUUGACGAAUUAUUUACGUAAUCCACUAAAAGUCAAAAUUUAUACACUUAUUUCUCUACUAAUGAUAAAUAUUCUAUUUGUAUGGUUUUUCCCUUUUUUCUUUUUUUGGUAGAGUGGGGGCUCGAAAAUGAAGUUUAAAUAAAGUUAUGUGAUGAACUAACAAUAGGCUAAAAAGAUAAAAUCUUAUUAAAUUUACAUAAUGUUUUUUAAAAAAACGAACUCAUUUAUUAAAUUUGAGGGUACAAUGGUGAGUUUGAUGUGAUUUUUUAGAAGUUAGGGAAGGAGUGGAAAGUGAAAAUAAAUAUAAGCUUAUAAUUAUUAAUAAACAUGAGAAAAGUGCUUUGCAUUAUUAGGAAGUUUACAACAAACUCUAAUUUUUAAUUUAACUUGUUUGUUUCUAAUUAAUAUAAUAUCAACUUGUCAAUAUUUGAACUUUUAUAUAACAUUUCAGUCCUUACAUAUUCUUUUAUAACUUUUAUAUUCUCCAUUUAAAUCCUUUGACUAAUUAAAACUUUUAUUAUGUAUAAGGAAAAUUUUAAAAAAUAAAAUUUAUAAUUAUUAAGUAAGCAAGUGAAUGGUACGAAACAUGUAAGCCUCAAAGUUAUUAUUUCAAUUUUAUUUUAUCAUCUUUUAAAACACGUUCGAUGUUGAUGAUCUAAGCUUUUUACAGUUCUUGGUAUAUGAUUGCAUGUGUAAAGAGUUUAAACCUCGAGUAGGGAAGUAGUUAUACUUUCCUUGAGGUCUUCAAUCAUGACAAGAUUUUUAAUUUUUAAAUUUUUAGAAUUAAAGUUUUCAUAUAUAUAAAAUAAAUUUAUUAAGUAAUUUUGUAUGAUUGACUCAAACGAAUGGUGUCUCGUUUAUAUAAUAUUAGGAUUUGUGGUAAAUAAUUUAUGGGAUGGUUUUGGAGAUGAAAAAAAAGUAAAAGAAUAUGAAGAAAUAUAGAGUUGCAUUUAAUGAUUGUAUUGUGGUGUUUUGAAACAUCACGACUCUCUUCCACAAAACGUUUUCUAAAAUCACAAUGGAUAAAGUCAAAUUGUUGGUGAAGAAUCCUUUGUUUUUUCCAUUAAUAAUUGUAUCUAUCAAAUUUAAACUUUAUCCAUUUUUAUAUUUUACAAAAAUCUACCUACCAAUCAUAAAUAAAAUUAAUUUACAUAUUAAUCAUAAUUAACUAAAAAAUGCAAUAAUACAUUAGAACACUACCACUACAGGUUUUAACUAUGCCAAAUUAGUUUUAAAACUUUGAAAUAUAUGUAUAUACAUUAUAUGGUAAAGUAUUGAGGUAGAUUUGUUAGAAUAUUAAUAAAAUAAAGUAUCUAAGUUGAAAAGAAGGUGAAGGGGAGGAAGACAUGCAAGGUGAUUGGAUUACAAACUAAUUACAAACUAGAUUUGAGAAGAAUAGUUUGAAUUUUGGGUAGUAGAAAAGGGAGAAGGUAAGAAUGAAUGGUAGAAAUAAAUAUUUGGUUAAAGGAAACCCUAAUAUAAAUGUUUAUAAAAGAAUGAAUUGAAGGGGUCAUUGAUUGCAGUGAAAUGAAAGUAUUGAAAGUUCAAUAAUUUGGAGAGCCCCAUGGGACGUAUAAUCGGUUUGGGUAUUGACCGGAUACGACAUUACGAAAGCACUUUUAUUCAAAUGCUUUAACCAUGGUUAAUACUCCAAACUAACCAUAGUUAAGUACCCUUCCCGGUUCUAUCUAACCUCUAACCUCUAACCUCUAACCUCUAAGCUCCAAAGCUCUAAAGCUCCAUCACAUCGGCGGUUCCACACGAAAACAAAACUUAAAUAAUAAUAUAAAAGAAUAUUUUAUUUUAUUUUUGUUAGGAGAAUGAACGGACGUUAAAGAUUCCGUCAAAUUGGUUAACGCGGGGGGAUAAACGUAACGGUCGAUUGGAGAAGAGAGGAAGGAGCGGGACUCUCAGUGGACGGAAAAGCAGAUGAUGAAGCAGAGCCGGACGAUGGUUUGAUGGACGGUCAUAGAUGGAUAUUGCUGAACGGUUUAAGCGAUGUGGGACUUGGAAGAGCGUAUAAAAAUAGAGAGUUGAAAGGGUGAGAGGCCAUUUCGUUGUAUCAUUGAGGAAGGACCUCUCUGUACUACUUCUCUUUAAACUUCCCUUCUAACUCUUUCUCUCUCUCUCUCUUUCUCUUUCUCUUUCUCUUCUACAUAUUUAUAUUUCUUUCUCUUGAUGUCUCUGUAAUUAUUUCCUUCAUUUGAAGCUUUCAAAACCACCCAACAGCUUAAAAUUUUGAUAGUAUUACUGGGUUAAUCGAUCUAAGAUGGCUCGGGUCAUUGACGACUUUUAAGGCAUUGAAAUUGUUGUAAGAGAUGAGAUAAUCGACGGGGGGGAAUUUGAAUCUGGGGUCUGUUUUCUUGGCUGAUUCUGUAAUUGAUUUUUUUUUUUUUAAUAAAUUCGGAGUUGAAUUUUUGGAGAAGAGACUUUGAGUUUUGAAGGUUUGAUAAUUGAAAUCAAUUCACUGUUUAAGGUCUUUGUUGUUCUGGGUUUAGAUCUUAUCUUCUGAAAUUAGUUUCUAACUCUUGAAAUUUUCGUUGUGCAGAUAAAUACAGAGCGAUUUUAGUUGUUCGUUUGAGGGGUUUCUAAGAGAUUUGUUACCUUUUUUGAAAGUGGAAGAAGAAUUGGACUGAGAAAAAUGCAAGCGAUUAUCGGACUCUGGGAUUCGGAUUUACAUUUCGCUUGUUUUCUGCGGUGAAAUAAGCAGAUUUCUGUUCUUUGGAAGAGCUGAUUCUUGGGGGGGAGGGGGGCAAACCCAGAUCAGAAAUUUCAGGUACUGAUUGGUUAUCUUCUUGGUGUAUUUUGUAGGCUCUGUUCUUUCUGUUCUAAUUAUUUUCGUCCGAAAUUUCAGGUCUGAUUUUCUUCCUGUUCAUUGCUACCUUCAGCAUCCAAUAGCUAUCGCUUCCUCCUCUGUUCGAAUUCUUAGGGUCUGAUAAUAUGCUUUCAGAAUUUAAAAAUUCGAGUUGCUUCUUCCAUGGAAGGAUCUUCUAUCUCUCUGUGAGCCAUUGGGAAAUCUGGAUCCCCUGUUUCCAUGUGAAAUUCUUCUUGUUUCUUUGAGUUCCUCACAUUUUCAAGAUUUUCCCUCAAAUUUCCUCUUAAUUUCAGACCCAGCGUCUUCCCAAUACUUUUCUUCAGAAACCCAGACCAGUUCGGCUUUUCAAAUUUCGUGAAUUCCGUCUUCGGAUCAUCGAGAAAACCCCAUGUUCUGGUCUCUGACUGUUUGAUGUUCUCCUCGAGUAAAGUUUUUACAGUGUUGAUGGCGAAAACGUCAUAUUUCAGUGCUUGAAAUUUCUAAUCACCUUUGCUCUGUCCAUUUUUCUUCGUAACUUCGGGAUUUUCAUCCGAAUCCAAUUGACUGCAGAACCUGCUUUUUAUCCAUUUCCCCUUUCGUUUCUCUUUGCUACUUUAAUUGUAGAAUCUUCUGAGUAAUCUUUCUUCAGACUAACCCCCUUUUGAAAUGGGACAGGUAGUGUAUAUAUAAUUAAGCAUAUGGAGAAAGAAAAUCUCAGAAUCAAUAGCCAUGGCAAUUUCGUUAGUAAUAAUCUCAACGGGAGGGAUAGAACCAGCGUGGACAGCUCGCUGUUGUUGCGAGCGAGAUCCGAAGCCGCCGUUGUCGCCGUCGCAACGAGACCGCAGCCAACGCCGUCGGAAUUUGUGUUACAAUGGGGAAACCGGAAGCGUCUCCGGUGUAUGAAAGUUCCGGUUAAGGCCAAGGAUGUUUCCGCCGCAGCACCGGCUCACAGAACCACCGUCCGAGUGGACCGGCGAGUCGUUAGAGCCGAUAAAGACUCGAUUAUACAUAACCACCAACCAACUUCUAAUCAUAACCUUAAUCCGAGUAAUGGGUAUUUGAAUCUCCGUCAACGGCCGAUUUCUCCUCAACCGCCAGUUCUACCGCCGCCGCCAGCUCCAUCUCAGCGUAUUCUAAGGUACUCUCUGUUUCUCUCUCUUUUCUUCAACGCCAAUCUUUCGUAAUUUCUUUUUUAAUCUCUUUGAUCGUUCAAAUCUCAUCCGAUAUUUGAGAUUCCUUUUUCCCGGCUAUGGGAUUCAAAAUCCCGAUGUAUUCUUUUAAAUGGGCCUUUCUAUUUGGGCUUUUAUUUUAUUGGGCUUUUUAUUUGCUUGCUGUAACGCACUGCAUAUCUAAAUAUCUAAGAAACAUAUUAUCGCUAUUUAUAUACUCAUAUCAUAAUCAAUAUUUGACAACAUAGUCUAUGAUUAACACUUAUUGGCUACAUUAUUGUAAAAAAAAAUUCAAUAAUCUUUCUUUUUCAAACAAUAAAAAAAUAAUUGUAUAAAUGCAACUUGGUAUUGGAAUCUGAUGAAAUGAUGAACCAAACAUUGAAGGACGCAAUUUAGCCUCGUUGAUUAGGACACGUCUUCCAUUUCUUCCACGUGUCGUUUUCACUGUGGAAUAAUAGCCGUCGGAUCAUCAAUCGCAGUGACCACUGGUGUCCCCAGAGUGUCUCCAGAUCGGCUGCCCUGGAGCGGACACGUAAUCUCGAACUUGUAGAUCCAAAGGCUGAGGUUGGGGCGAGGUAGUCAUGAUUUGAAAAGACAGGUUUGUCCUUAAGAAAAAUCUAAGCCAUUGAAUGAAAGAAUAGAGACGAAGUCCCCCAUUUUGUACGCAAAUUCUAAGCCAGAUUUCCCCCAACGAACUCCAACAUCCUCCAAGGUCAUUCCCGUAAUUUCAGCCCACGAACGUAAAUAAAUUAAAUUUGCUUUUCUUCUUUUUUCCCUUUUUUUUUUUCUUCUUCUUUAAUGAGUAAUCUUUCAAUCUUUCGUGAGAUUUGUUCUUUAGGCCUUUUGUUUUGGUAAUCUAUGUGUGUAUGUCUUGUGGGGUUGGGAGUCUUUUUUUUAAAAAAAAGAACUUUUUGGUGAAACUAAGUAGUAAACAAACAGAGACUGAGUUUUUGUUUUUAAAAAAAUUUGAUUAGGAACUCUGAGAUUUCCGGUACGAUGAGAGCCCAAUCCAACGGCGGUGUCAGAGCAAUUACUUCUCCGGACAGGGCAGCGCCGGAGAAAAAACCACCACCGUCUCAUCACGACCACCACCAUAAAUCCGCCGCUACCUCAGACACAAAAAAAGGUGGGUCAUCUUCCGGCAGCGGAGAACCAACUGCACCGCCGCAAGCGCUGCCGGUUUGGCCACCGAAGUUCGUAAUAGCUUUAACGAACAAAGAGAAGGAAGAAGAUUUCAUGGCGAUCAAAGGGUCAAAACUGCCUCAGAGACCUAAAAAACGAGCAAAAAUUAUUCAACGCACCAUCAAUGUAAGCAAAACACCAAUCCCCCCGUCUUUACUUUUCCAGAUUCGUUCUCUACCUUUUCUUUUAUUGGUUUUAAUUACUUUUUCUUCCUUAGUUACGAACUGAUUCUCAUGCGCUAUAAUUAUUAAUUAUUAAUUAUUAAUUAUUAAUAUCAUUAUUACUUCUGCUUUAAUUAUUUAUUUGAACCCUAAUUUUCUUUUAAUUUUCACCGAAUAUUUAUUUCCUAGUAAUUAUUCAAUGAGAGCAUUAAUUGAAAAUAAAACGAAAAAGGGGGGUGUGGGGGUGAGAGAGAGAUAUUAAGGGGAGAGUUGUGGCAAUGGAAGGUUGAUGGAAUGCCACGUGGAGAGAUAUGGUUUGAGUGUUAUUUACCGGAAAUGAAGGCAUUGUGUGUGGGUGAAUGAAUGGUUUAACCAAUUACUAGUCGACAGAUAGACAAUCGCUGAGUUGUCCCAUCCUCGCCUUCAACAGUUGGGAGUCCUUUGGGUUUCUUUUUCUUUUAUCUAAAUAAUCAUGUUCACAUUCAACCUUACUUUUUGUAAUAAAUUCUUAAUUUCCCUCUUCCCUUUUACUUUUCUAUAAAUAAUAUUUGUAAAAGUAUAUUACAUUUUGUUCAGGAUUUAUUUAAUUUGUGUGUUGGUUUGGUGUUUGGUGUUUGGUGUUUGCUAUUUGGUGGUGGCAGCUGGUGAGUCCGGGGACGUGGCUAUGUGAUUUAACGUUGGAGAGAUACGAAGUAAGGGAGAAGAAAAUUUCUAAAAAGGUAUGUAUUUUUUUUCUUCUAUUUUUUGUGUUUAUUAAUUUGUGAAUUGUAAGAAUUGAUUCUUGUUAUUUGAAUGUGUUUGGGAUGCAGAGACCAAGAGGGCUUAAGGCAAUAGUGAACAUGGAGUCGGAGUCCGAGUGAGGAAAAGAGGAGAGUUUCUGAUCACAUACCAAAUUAAUUUAGAACCACUGUUUUGUUGUGAUUUUGUGGAGAGGAGGGGAAGAAGCUUUUAAUUAUGUGAAUUACAUAAAUAUAAAAUAUAUAUAUAUAUAUAUAAGUUGUAGAUUUUCUCUUGGCUAAUUGAUUUUAUUAGCAUAAUGAAAUUGUAAUUAUUCUAAUUUUUUAGUUCUAAGUUGAUCCUUUUGAUAACGGUUUUCAAGUAGAAAUUACCAAUUCUUAGAUUGAAAAUAGAAAUGAGGGUGGAAGCUACAUUUGUUUAUGGAUUAAAGAGCUUUUUCUUUUUUUCUUUUGUGUAAAGAUAUAUUGGCUUAUCAACUAACUUUUAGAAAAACAAAUCCUCCAAGAAUGAAAAAAACUCGGAUUAUCACUUUACUACAACUGCGUCAGUUGAUUCUCUAUCUUUUUUUUUUUCUUUCUCCUCAUCCUUCUUCACAUACUAAAUCAAAAGCCUAAUUUCCCGAAGUUCCCAACUUUAAUUUCCCACACUUUACACCCACCCCUUCCUCUCCUUCAAACUAUUUCUUUCUUCAACAUAUUUUUUCUUAAAAUUAACACAAAAAAAAAAAAAAGUUUCAUACAAUAACUUAUGAUAACAACUUACGUAAACAGUAGAAGGUAUUUCCUUUGGUUUGACAAAAUCAUAGAGAAUAAUGAAACUAUUAUUUUAUAAUGAAAUUCUUCAAAUGGUAGAGACUAAACUACAACUCUCUUUGAAUCAUAUUUAUUGUUAAUUAGCUAGUUUUAUGAUUUAUAAAUAUAUUACAAACACGUUAAACAAAUUUUAAAAUUAUAAUCUAAUUGAAUUUGUUUCCAAACACAUAUUUAAGAUAAAACAUAAAACAUGAAAUUAAGGAGAGGAAGAACUCUAUGUUACCAAAAUACUUUUCUUCUAACUUUUACAGAAAAAACAUUCUUAGAUUUAAACAUAAUUUUAAAUCUAUAAUGGCUGGAUUGCCAUGGUAUUAAAAAAUUAAAUGUAAAUCAUAAAAAGCUAAUAUUGCAAUAUUUAGAAUUGUAAAUUUCUUGAAACAAUCAAAUAAACUUCAUGUGAGUUCAAAAGGGUAUGCAAAAUAAAUUCUAUCGAGUAUAUAAAAUAAAAAGAAUGAAUAAAGAAAAGGAAAAAAGAACUCAAAAUGAAAAUAUAUUUGAGUUGAGCAUCACAAAGAUCACAAGUAGACUUUAUUAGUGGACAACAGAAAUCAACCAAUAUACCAUUUCAUUAAUAUAAAUAAUUCUCUAUAUGCUUUGGAUUCGUCCUUCUUAGAGAAGAAAAAAGAAAAGCAAAAAAGGCAACCAUGUUCUUGUCAUCAAUUCUCUAGCUGUAAAAAUUGCCAACCAUAAAAUUAUUGGCACCUUUCCCUUUCGGGUUUUCAUUAUUCAUUGCACAUGCCUCGCUGCCCCACAAAUUCUACUUCAAUUGGACUUCUGUUGGUCCAGAUUUCAAAUUAUUAAAUAUGCCUUACAAAUCUUGGAAUUCCACAAUUUAAUAAUCCUCAACUUAAUUCGGUAGUACACAAAAUGAUUUCUGAUGGGGUUUUUUUUUUCUCUCUCUCUCUCUCUCUUCAAGAAGAAAUUAAUCAAUCAAUUACAGUGAGAAUUACCAAAUUGUUUUGGCUAAGCGAAGAAUCUCAAAGAAAUUGUUGCAGUUAGAUAUAAUAAGCGAGUGUGUUCGUAUGAAUGAAUGCAUGAAAGAGUAAAGAAGAAGAGAGUAUUUAAAAAGAACGAAACAAUUUAUUUACUAAUCAUAACCAACAAAAUAUAGCACAAUCGUGAACAAACCAACACAACCUGCAUUCUAUAUAUAAGAAUGUGUAAACAAAAGAGGUCGUCUGUACCAAACGUGUAGAAAUUAAAGUCCCUUAGAAAAACAUCUAAAACAAAUUCCUCCGCGGCGCAAGGUUUUAGUUGAAGAGAGAAAAGAAAAAGAAAAAGGAAAAGCAGACCAUCACAAAUACAUGGAAGAGUCCAUGGCAAAAUCAAUCACCACAUCCGAAGGCCGGUAGCUCAGAUCCUGAGAGUAGAUCCGAAGGCGAGAGCAAGGAAAGCAGCAAGGCAAGCGGAGACGGCCGAAGGAGCAAUGGAGGUGGCAGGGGAGGCCGGACUGGGAGCCGGAGCCUCCUGAGCGGCGACGGAGGAAAGGGCGAAGAUGAGGGCAAUGAGAGCGAGGAGAGAAACUUUGGAGAGGGCGGCCAUUGGGUAAAAGAGGUAAUGGGGGCGGGGGGUUAGGGUUGAGGCGGGAGAGAGGAGAGAGGAGAGAACCGUUUGAUUGGGAAAUGAGAAAGGGAAAUAGUAGAAGGAGAGAUAUAUAGAGAGAAACGGGGAGGUGCAAGCUGGCGAAUGGUUGAAAGACAGCUCAUAUAUGGGUGUGGUUCCCUUUUCCACAAAGAGCAUCGACGGGGAAUAUAUGCAUUCUCUUUCCACCGCACAACAUUUUAGCCAUCAACAACUACACAACAAAUAUAAAGUAAUUUUUUGUUUUUAAAUUCCAUUUUACACCUUUUUUUUUUCUUUCUUUUUCAACGGAUUUAUUCCAUUCAUGCUUUUUUUUUUUUCUUUUCAAUUUUAAACUUUAACGUUUGCUGUAUGGUUAUAUAUAUUAUCACUAUUAUUUUGUUUUUCUUUUUUAAGCUUUUGAAAAGUAGAAAAAAAAUUAAUACGUUAUAAAUUUGAAAAGCAGUAAGUUUAAAAGUAAUAAUCAUCUAAUAACCUUUAGAUAAUCGUUUCAUAUUAUUAAUUAUUUGUCAUAGUUGUCAUAUUCGAAAUAUGUAUAAAAAAAAAAGGUGUGAACUGUUUUAUUAAGUUAGUACGAUAUUUAUCAGCUUCAUUAAGAUAUUUAUACUUACUAAUAUUACGUUGCAAACUAUAGGUUUGGAAGGUCUUUGGAUGAUUUUCAUCCAUCCUAAGUUUAUUAGAUUUUUUAUCAGUAACAUCGAUCUCAUCUAUUCAACAACUUUUAUGGUACAUGUACUUGUUGGGAUGAGAUUAAAAUAUCAAUUUUAAAUUAUUUAUUGACGUUUUAUCUACAAAUUUACACUUGAGAGGAGUAGUUCAUCUAUCUUAUAUGGAGUAUGAGUCACAUUGUUUUUUCCAAUGUGAGACUCUCAUCUUCUCCAACAUGUCCCUCAAGACAGUGUCUGUUUGAGUUAACUUAUAUUGGAUCAAAUACUCAUUUGGAGAAAAUAGAGAAUCGGUUUCUUACAAAUACUCUUGUCUUCACUCUUUAUUUUGGUAUUAGAGCUUGAAAAAUGGCCAACGCCUUUUAUGCCUCAUCCUCGUCGAUGAUUUCAAACUUUAGCAAUCCUCCCCUAAAUCAACUACUAAACCAACAUGUUCCCUCAGGAUGAUGCUUAUUUGGGUUCACCUAUCUUUAACAUAAGGUGACUAUAUGUUUAGAAUCACAUUUUCCAUGAAUUGAAUAGUAAUUGAAUAGUAAUGACUCAUGAUCAUAUAUUUUUUUAAUAUAUAUGGGCACUAAUCAAACAUUUUAGUUCAACAAACGUUUUUUUCAAAACAAUAAUAAUAAACAAUGGACAUUAAUUUUAAAAUUAGAAUAAUGAUAUUAAAUAUCUCUUUACUUCUCAGCUUUUAUAUAAGGUCCAAAUUCAAAGGAUGCUAUUAAAGUUUCAAACAAAAUACUUUUCUUUUUGAGAGAGAUAUUCUUUCUCUUUAAAAUAAAGAUGAGACAAUGGAUGUGAUAGAUUAUGUAUAGAAAUAAAAAUACAUAAACAAAAUUAUUUACAACUAUAAAUAAAAUUAAGAAAGUUAUUAGCAUUAAUCUCAUCGAAUUAAUUUAGCUAACCAAAAAGAAGCAAAACAGCGUCGUUUGGUUCAUAACGUUAAUGAGUCCGUUGUAAAAGUGGAAGAUUCUAUUUGGUUUAGGGUUAGUGGAAACCAUGGGGGAAAUAAUAUUGAAUUCAUCCAGAUGCGACAAUGGCGCGUGUUAUGUACGAUAAGCAUCGAAGGGAUGUGAGAAGAUGGGGACGGUGGAAAAUUAGAGCGUGGAGUGAAGAAAACCCAAAAAGGGAAAGAAGGAAAAGUAAAAAUGAUGGGGGGUGGGGCCGACAAGCCAAUAAUGGGAAAAAUAGUUGUUGUGAACGUGGGGCCCAGGAUAGAGUGACCGCGCUGUGUUGUUAGGAAAUGACAGGUAAGAGUGAUUGGCCACUGGCUUCUUUUUAAUAUGGUUCCAGAAACUUCUUUUUAUGCACGCCAAUAUCGUCCUUUCCACACAAACUCUCUUUUAAUAAGUAAUAACCACUUUUUUUUUUUUUCUUUCUUCUUUUUUAUCAUGUAAAUGCUAUUAUUGUUCGACUAUAUCAGCUUGUUUGUAAACCUAUCAAUUUACAAUUGAUAAAAAAAAAAAAAAAAGAUAAUGAAGAGUCCAAGUUAUGUUAAUAAUCUUCAGUUAGUUCAAUAGUAUCUAGGGUGGUAAAGAUUUAAAAUCGAGUUCAACACCAACAAAGUGAACCAAUUAAGGGCAUUUUUGGCAUUGUAAUUAAAUCUCGAAUGAGAUUCUGUAUAAUCUAAUGAUGCAAAUUUAAGUAGUGUUCGGGUGAAGGAGCGAGAAGUAUUGAGUAAGGAAUGAAACAGUAAAAAAAGAGAGAAAUGGAGGAUUAUGGAAAACAUGUCCUUGGUCAAACGAGCGGUGAAGUUUGGACUAUUUAUCUUUUUGGAAUUUCGAGAACUAUAUAUAUAAAUAUAUUCAACUAGUUUUGAGCAAUACAUAGGUUGAAAAAAAAGAAAGAAAGAGAGAGAGAGAGAGAGAGAGAGAGAGAGGUACUGGGAAGAAAAGGAAACAAAUAAAGACCGUUCAUGCCAACUCCUCAAACUUCAUUCUUAUUUAAAAAGAAAAAGAGAACAGAUAGAUGAGGGGCAUUCAAAUAUGAUCAUUUUCUUUUACAGUGGGAGAUAU
rnacentral:lncRNA from 1 species